rnacentral:lncRNA from 1 species
UUUUUUUUUUUUUUUUUUUUUUUUUUGUGAAUGCCGGGGUUACUUUUGUCAAAAAACAAAUGCGGGGGGUUACAAGAUCAGCACUCCCGGGCACACACAUAGUGCGUGAAGCCGCAGUCAAAAAAGCCAUGACAGGCAGAUAAAAGCACAACUGCCGGCCCAAUAUGCUAUCCCCACUCCAACUGCGUCUCGAUCUCGUAUUGCAAUUACUUUUGGUGCACGCGCACUUUCCGUUAUCUUUUCCAUUGUAUAACUACCCAUGGUCAAGAAGACAUCAAAUCUGAUUGUAAGUUCCCAAACAUGCCCUUGUUAUCAAACAAUGUUACAACAACAUAAAAUUUCGGUGGGGAACUGAAAUUGAAGAUAUUCUACAAUUGACUACACGAUUAUACGUUAUUUAUUUGAUGCAUAGACUUGGUUAAUUUGAAAUCUGAAAGAUUAGGUGUUGAAAGUAUUAAGUUGCUGAAUUGAUUAAAUUAUAUCUGUUUGAUAAGUAACUGAAUUAUAAUGCUGAAUUGAAAUGUUACAUAAAUAUUAUGUUGUUAUCUUUAAAAAAUUACAUCUAUUUGUGUAUUUAGAGAGAAAGAAAAGUGUGUAUGUGUGUGAGAGAGAAAUAAAAAAUAAUAAAGCAAUUUGGAGGUGGUGUUUAAGCGUGCAUAUUUACGUGUGAUAGUGUAUAUUUAUAUAUGUAUAUAUAUGUGUGUGUGUGAAUAAAAGAGAACAAAUAUGUAUUUUUUGUGAGACAAUGCAUAAGAAUGUAUUAUAUGUAUGAUAGUUAUGGUAUGUAUUGUCAAUUCAGAAAAUUUAGUAAAAAUAAUUCAAAAAGUUUUGAAUGAAUUAAUUUUCUAACAUUAAGUAAAGUUAUCAAAUAAGCCCACGUUAAAAUUUCAUUUUCCUACGGUCUCCUCUUCUUGCUUUCACGGUCAAGAUUGCCAAAACAUAAUAUUUGGUAUACAAACUUGCUUAGAAAUCAAAUAAAAUUGUAGGAACAAGGAUGGUGUGAUUAGAGUUUCUUUUAUGUGUAAAUUCUAGCUAGUCUAUAAAAAGAAAGAAAACAUCCUUACCUAUAAAUACAAAUCAGAAAAACUAUCACUACCAAUAAAACCCUUCACAAAUCUUUUUUUUUUUUUUUUGAUAUUGUCCUUCACAAAGAACUCAUGUAGAAUUAGCUUCAAAUGAAUUAAGCCAUGGAAUGGUUCUAAUAAAUCAAAUCAUCCCUGGACAUGGGUCUCAGAGCAAUUCCAAUCGAAUUUAUGGUUUGGUUUUGUUAUAUCUCAUCCCCUUCGAGGAUCAGUCUAAUCAUAGAUGAGGUUAUUGAUUAACUAAUGUCCUUGGUGCAAGCAACAAAGUAUUGAUGUGAGGGAUGGGAUUUACAGCUUGCAAAGAUGCUGCUAAUGGAAAAGGAGUACUGCAAGCUAAAAGUUUCUUUUGACGAGGAAGAAUUUAGUACGGCUGUUUUGUAAAUUGAAUACAACAAAUAAGGUAAAAUAGGACAAAAAGGUGAUCAACUCGACAACAAUUCUUCCUGCCGUGCUACAAAUAAAUAAGGUAAAAUAAGACAAAAACGUGAUCAACUCAACAAAUAAGGUAAAAUAUGCAGGUGUUUUUAUUUUUAUCUUACUUGUAACUCUUCUUUAUGUCACUAAAAUGAAAAUGCUAAAGCAAUGCAAUAUUUCAGUACAAGAAACGAAAGAGGGUUUCUGUUUAUGGAUUGUAUUACACUUAUUCUCUUCUUCCAUUGAUAUUGGCCUUUCCUAGUUAUUUAUGUGUAUUGACAUUGGAUCUUAAUACAUAGGCCAAAAAUCCCAGAAGUUCCAAUAUUAACUUUACUCCAAUUUGAGUAACUACAUAGCAAAAAAAAAAAAAAAAAAAAAAACUAAAUAUGUCCAAAAUUUGAUUUUCAAAAUCAGAGAAAGUGCUAUGUUUAGAGAUCUUCAAGAUAAUACCUCACAUAACAAUUACAUUUACAUAGAGAUCGAUGAUACGUGAACUAAUCUAGUGUAAAUGAUACAUGAAAAAAUAGUUUUGACUAAUAGCUGUCUUUGUUGCAGCUGUAAACUCAAGAAACAUCAACAAAUGUCAUGUUCCACAUUGAGUUCUACACUCAAGAGACAUCUCUUGUGCUUAAUUUUUCCAAAGGAAAUCUUUGUAAUCGGAAGUUUAUAAAAUGGGUCGGCCAAGAAUUUUUCUUACUUUCACAAGCACUUUCUGUUCCUGUUGUCUCCAAAGUCCAAUGUUGUGGCAUGUCAACAAUAUUGUGUUCAUGAGAAAAUACAAUUCCAAGAAAACACUACUGAUACUUGGUGAAAUUUUUUCUGUAAAAGAAAGAUGCUUUUAAAUUCCGGAUGUCUAUACCAAGAAAAUUCCACCAGAAUUACUAUCAAUUCAGCGUUACUCUUUUGCCUUGGACAUUGUAACAAACAUACAGAAAUUGCCCAUGAGAAUGUGGUUAGUGAAGAAGCUGCCACAAAGAUUCUUCUAUUGUUUACUUAUAUCCAAGGGCUUACUUCCGAACCUCAGGCUCAUUUGGAUGUUUCCAAGAUGAAGUAAAAACAACUGUAAUAGGCCAAAUUCUGUUAUUAUCUGCUAUUUUUAAUAAAAGAAACAAGAAUUGCUGGCCAUACCGAUAUUUCUAAUGAAGCAGUGUAUCCCAAUUCUUUAGUACUUUUUAACUUUCUAUAUUAAUUAGCUGCGGUUAAUUAACCACUCAUCAACACCGAAAGUGUCAGGUUCAAGCAAUAUUAUUGAUAGCCAUCAAUUAAGUACUGCAAUUGGUACGUACGCCUCCGUAGCUACUGGGAUUAGUUUAAACUUUGUGCACUCUAGUCAUAGAAAAUUGUAUUGUGCUCCCCCGCCAACUUCAACCUCCCACUCCCCUCAAAUGAAAACCAACAAGAAAGCUAAUUUGAUAAAGAAAAAUAUACAAUAUUGAACUCAAACGAAUGCAUUUAACUGCAGUUAUUUUCGACGAUUUCUUUUUUGUUUAUCAAAGAUAAAUUGCGUCAAGAUUUCACUUAAAAUUACAUUCACCUCAUACUUUUUUGUAUCAUAGAUAACCUCCUAUAUAUUUUGCCUAGAUUGAUUCCAACGCUUAUCAUGUAGCUUUGCAAGAAAAUUUUGAAUCAUGGAUACAUAACCCUUUAUACGGAAGACCUAUAUAUUGCUGAAGAGUUACUUUAAAAUAAAGUAUGAUCACCGUUAAUAUCUAACAUGUAAUCACUACUUGUGUUGAGAAAAUUCAAGAUUUCAAUGUCUUAAACGUGCUAAGAGUUGUUUACGAAUUUACCAAUCCAUGAUUAGAACAAUUUGUUUUCGACAACAAUCAUCUGAAUUUGACUCCCAUGCAUCAAGCAAGUCUCUUUGAGUCCCUCAAUGGAUGAAUUGUUGUAUGUAUAUAAUAAUGCACAUUAUAAUGUCUAGCCACAGAUAGACUAGCUUGCAGCAAAUGUUCUGCCAAAAAGAAACUCAUCAUAUGCAUUUUGGAUCAUUAAGGUGCUGCCGAUGAUAUCUUGGGUAGACAACAAAAAUAUUGAGAGAACUAAAAAGGAUUCAUUGAAGUAAAUUGUGUGUGAAUUGCAUUCAAAACUAGAAAAUAUCGAAACUCAAAACCUUGACCUGCUUGAAGAUCGCUUAAGCCAUAAAAUUAAAGCCUCUGCCAGCACCUUUAUAUUUGGCAUUAACUGUCCCUAAAACCUCCAAAUUAAUUUAUAUUCAUUGAAAAAUAUUGCAGAAAUCUUUCAGCUUGAGAUAUUCUCCUAUUUUUUUUUUUUCUCCACUUGUAAUUUUUAGCCCAACCAAAUGGUACCAUUAGUUGUACAAAUUCACAAUCAUGAGUUAAGGCACAUGCUGUCCUUACAAGGUCAAACUUGUUAACAAAACUGAGAGAUUUGAAUCUUUAACCCUUUAAAGGUCCACACCACAAACAGUAGCAUAAUCAUACAUACAUGUGCAACAAGAAAACUUGAACUACUAUAGCUUUUUUCCAUUCUUCUUCUUUGUUAAUCCGUUUUCUCUUUUCUCCUCUAAUUAAGGACUCCGUCCUAACCCUUAAAAUAAUACACCCUUCACAUCAAGAAAUAAACUAUGCAUAAAAAUCAAAUUACAUGCCAAACGAAAAUGGAGGGCAUUAUAGUCAUUUUGCGCUCAAACAGAGUUUAUAUAAACUCCUUACAACUCCUCAAGAAACUCACUCUCCAACAUUUGCGGUUUGCCACCAAUAUUUCCUAACCUCAUACUACUAUAUACCAUAACAAUUCAAGAAAACAAACAACGAUGGAUACUCAUCAACGUCCUCUCUUCCUCAUCACCACCUUCCUCCUCCUCCUCCUCCACCACCCCACCUCCACCCAUUCCCUCAUUGACCCCACCACCUACUCCACCCCGGCCGCCGCUCCCACCACCAUCUCGGCUGCCACUCCGCCUGCCACCACCACCACCACUUACCCCACCAAUAAAGACACCGAAUUCAUCCGUUCAAGCUGUGCAUCCACCCGGUACCCCGACGAAUGCUACAACUCCCUCUCGGGCUACGCCAGCGCCGUACAACAAAACCCUGCUCGGCUAGCGCGUGUAGCCAUAGCCGUGAGCCUCUCCAGAGCCAGACUGGAAGCCACUUACUUCUCGAACAUAUCGAAAGAAGCAGACUACGGGGCCGACCAUCGAGUCUCAGCCGCUAUUCACGACUGCUUCUCCACCUUCGGCGACGCUGUGGACCAGCUUCGCGGCUCGCUCAACCAGAUGCGCCACCUCGUCCCGGCUGGCUCCAGCGAGACGUUUAGGUUUCAGAUGAGUAACGUUCAGACGUGGAUGAGUGCUGCCUUGACGAAUGAGGACACGUGUACGGAUGGAUUUGAUGGGGUUUCUGAUGGGCCCACGAAGAAGGACGUCUUUGAUCGUGUUCAUAGAGCUGAGGCUGUUACCAGCAACGCCUUGGCUUUGGUCAAUAGUUAUGCCAAUACAGUUGCAGCAGAUUCGAACUUCCCGUGAGAAUUUACUCUAGCAGAGUAAGAAAAAAAAAUUAUGUGAAAGGACUGACUUUUUAUUUAUAGGUUUUUUAUAUGGAGAAAAUUAGGGGUGAGUGAAUUAUUCUUGGUUUGUGAGCUGAUUAAAAAGUGAGUUAGCUGUAUAUUAUUUGCAUGUAAGUGUAGUAAUGCUAUAGUAUGAGUUUGUGGGAUUUUGUUGUUAUCUUAUAAAGGUAAUAAAAGUGUUGGUCAUAGAAAUUUGACUUGAGAAGACAAAAGAAAUUAAAGGGGCAAAAGGGAAAGAAUAAUUUGGAUUGUAGUUUUUUAACAAAAAAUUUUAUAUUUUUUGUAAGCAUAUUUUUCAAUCAUUUUUUUUAAUUCACAUAUAUCAAAUCUUUUUAUUAUAUAUUUUUUUUAAUAAAAAUUUCAAAAAGUAGAAACCAAAAUGGGAAAAUAGAAAGCAUUUGACGAGCUAGAGUACAUUUUUACUUGACGAGGUAGAGUCAAAAAUUGUAUCAAUAUUUUUUGUCUAUGGCCAAUGCUCUACUGCGUCUCUGUAUUGCUCCACAAAACCCUGUAAAGGAAAUAUAUAAUCAUUACAACUAACUUGAUGGACUAACUACCAGUUUGAAAUAGAGAGCAUUUGUCCACCUGUGCGUUCAUAUUGUGUGGACGGCAAAUAGUCGAAAGGGGGGGGACCCCCAGGCCUGUUAGUACUCGUAGUACCUUUUCAAGUUCAACCCUAUGUUCUUCCAUAACAAAAGUUUUCCUCUGUUUUACCCAUUUCUUGAGGCUCAAACCAAUCAUGGCAGCAACAAAGCAUUUUGUAUUACCUAUUUUGAGAUUUAGUUAGUGUUUGCACGGCACAAGAUUUAUCCUAUUGUGAGGUUAAAGAUGGGCAAACAGUCGGCAAUUGCUAAUAUGAUAUACUCCUUGAUGUGAAAGUAUUUUGUGAUUGUAACGAUUACAGGGAAAAAGCAGGCGGAUUUAAAUUCAAAACUUCUAAUUUCUGAAUUUAAAUCUCUCCGUUCUCUUCUCGCUGCAUUCAUAGGUGUUUUGAUUUAUUGACAAACAAUUAAUGUUUGAGAGACAUAUGUAUGUAGGUAAGACUGUGUCCUAGCAAAUGAAAAUAUUUAGGGAUUACUUUUUGCAUAGUAGCCGAAGAACAUAACCCCAAGCUCUAUUUGGAUCUUAUUCUAAUCACAAAAAUGCGACUAACAUUUAGUGAAAUUAUAACUAGAGAACUAACAAAUCCCUUAUUCGGAAGGCUAAAAUUCUUUCCUUUUUUCAUGUAUUUAUACUUGUUAGACACGUACUUCCACGACAAUAGUAACAACUCUGUGAAUUUAUGCUCCACUCUUUUUGCAGUGGAAUAAUUGCACCAUAGAUCAAUGAUUUGCCAUGAUUCGGCCAUUUUCUACCUAGUUGGUGGCUUUAAGUUAAUGAAUAUUUGAGGAUCUUCUCCAACUAAGUAGGAAGAUUUUGCAUUCGAUCAUAAAAAGGAAGAAAGAAGGGAAAGAUAAUAUUGUGUGAGAAACAUAGUUCACAUAAAGGUGAAAGUGUAUGAUUCACUGUCGGGGUAGUUUGGAAAUCCUGUCUAAAGUAAUCAUGACUUUAUUUUGAUUAAUCCAGAAACGAAAUAGAGGUAUUUUUUUUUUCAACACAGGAAUAUUCGAAUCAAUCGUUACGGUCCGACGAGAGGUAUUCAAUUGCUGUGCCAAAAUGAGUAUCGACUUUUAACUUGUGAAGCUACAGUUUUGUUAACCAACUUUUGACCCAAAGAAGCAGCAGCCACCACAAUCCCAAGCGGGACCUAAGUCACUGACCACAAGUUUUUGUUGAUUUCGCACUGGUAAAUUGUUAAUAGAGGUGCAAUUUGCUGUUAUUUAAGAAGUAAUUUUGAAUUUCUUCCAAAUUAUUUCUUGAAUAAUAUUUGCUUUAUCAUUUGAGUCAUAAUCACAGAAUCAAUAUAAUCGGGUCUAACCAAGAAGAGAUGCAUACUGGGUUGAUCCAUAUAAUCUUGAAUGUCAACAGGAUCACGAAUUUCCUUUCUCUUUUUUUUUUUCCAAUUUGACUAUUACUGAUUUAAGAAAAAUGGAUCAUCAAACUGCUUAAAGUCUCCAGAUGCGAGUUAACAAUAUGAAGUACAGCAGCUCCAUUGUUGUUUGCAUCCUAAACUAAUCAAAUUUGCUAGUAGUUGACAUGGCUGUCUUGCACAUUUCCAACAACAGAAACAAGAAUUUAAUCAGUUUCGCUAUUUUCUAUCGGAAAAUUACGUUGUUUGUUUGGAUUGUAAUUUUCUGUCGGAAAAUUACGUUGUUUUCCGUAAUCUCAUUUCCCUAUUAUUUUUUUCCCUCACAUACAUCAAAUCGCUACAAUAAUUUUUCCAUGAAAAAUCAUAAAAAAUUCAAUCCAAACACAAAUAAAUCUUUAUCCAAAAAAAUUUCACCUUUUCUGAAAAUAAAAGUUACCUCGCACUUUACAUACCCCCGUUAACUUACUCCUGCAACUGCUUAAUCUCUGCUAUGAAAUUAAUAAUUACACUAUUAGUUCCAUCAUAUCGCAUAAUAGAAAUGGCUCUUCAGAAUAGUCAGUAUCUAAGAAGCAAAUGAAUAAUGUUUGCUAUACAAAAUGAUUGUCUAAUCCACCUAUUAGCAUCUGUCUCGUCCUUAAUACGUUAUCUUCACAAUGAUAUUGGAAUUUUUGAAACUUUCUUGAAUUGCCCUUUUUCUUUGACCAAUUAGAAAACUCAUUUUUCACCUGGAAGGUAGAAAUAGAGUAACAUAAUACCAAUGGAUUAAAAACGAAUGUAUUUUUGCGCAAAAUUAGAUUCGGGAUUUGAGAGUGUUUUCAAUGUUCAAUCACUCCUUAAUCUUAGCCAUGAUUAUGAGUUAUGACAUGGUACAACUUCAAUCCUUGUCGGGAAUCAACCUUCCUUAGUUAUAGGCUUCACUCAAACUAACCAUCACAAUAAUGUGGAUAACCUUAAACACAUUAAUCUAUUUUUUAUUAAUAUAUAGAAACUCAGAACCUCCUACUUAUAAUCCCUCUCUCACUUUACCUCUCAACCUAAUUCUCCUCUAAACACAUUAUAUCUAUUUUUCCUUUUCUCAUUGAGAAUAUUGUAGGUCUGCUUCCAAGAAUCAACUCUCCUUAGGAUAGGCCACCCUCAAACCACCAGAAAAAAAAAUUGAGGACAGCCAUAAAGAGUUUAUAUCUAUUUUUCCUUUUCUUUUUUUCUUUUUUAUUAAGAUUGUUGGUGGUUCAAGUGCGCCUCUUGAGAUUAUUCUUCUCCACGGCGUAAAAAUUUUCUUACAUACUCUUUGAUUCAAGGAUGGAACCAAAAGGGAGCAGAGAGAAGCCAUUGCCACCCAAAUCCUAAAAGUUCACUCUUAAAAGAUUUUUUUUUUUUUUUGGCUUCGGUCCAUUUUUUAAUUUCAUACUCAAUGCCCAUCCUUUCUUAGAUUUUAAAAUCAAUUAUUUGGAGAUGAUUUUUUGUACAAAUUCUAAUCCUUGCUGAGAUGAACGCUUUUCUGUUUCAACUUAGAUCAUAACUGUCGUUAUAAAGGAAAAUAAACUUUGAUUGUAAUUGGAAAAACAGAGCACCAUCCAAUUAAAUGCAUGUGUAUACUUUUCUGUGCUAAGGUGAUUCAUUGUCGCUUUCAGAUCAAAUUGAUAUACAUCGACCAAUGAAGAAGAAAUUAUUAGUUGCAUAUUAUCCAGGAUGGAAUACACAGUUUGAUAAGAUAGAUAUAUUACGUGUUUGUGUUAAUGCACAUUGCCGUCAUUAGUCAAUUUAUAAUUCCACGCUUCGACGGGCUACAUCCGACGCCAACCAAUAUGUUCCUCGUCUCUCAAAAUAACAAACGAAACUCUGCUUAUUUUAGGUCCAAUUUUGUGAAAUCUCGUUUUGGUUCUUAAAUUGAAAUUGAAGCAAUUAGAGUCCCUCAGAGUUAUGUCUGCCGCAGUACAUCACUUCUAUAUGAGAUCAAAUUUCAGGGUCGUGCGUUGGAAUUCUGUUGUUGAUGUAAUUUAUGAGAAUUCCUAGAAAUGAAUCGUGGUUCAAAAAAUAUGCCCUGAUCCAUGGUGAUGAUCAGAGUUGAGCCAACAAAAAAUUAAAAAAAAUGUCGGAAAAGUAUAUAAUAUGAAUAAGGAAAACUCUAAGAAAACGUUUCUCACAUUUUACGGUUUAAAUUUUCUCAUCUCUUAUUUUAAAGUGAUGCAUUUACUUCCCUCAAAAAUUUAAAAUACACCUAUUUGGUUUCAAAUUCACCUGAGAUUUUUCACGGGACACACACUUGAUGAAUUUUAAAGGAGCAAAAAGGUCAAAUAAAGAAAAUUUUUUUGACCCACUCACAUGACUCGAUUUAUGUUUACCUAGUGAGAAAUCUCCUUCAAUAUACUCAUCCCUUGGUUGGGUAAAAAGGACAAAAGAAAACUCAGAAAAAAGGAAAAGAAAUUGCAUCAAGACAAAAGACACAUACAACAGCAUGAUUUUGUUGGAGAUAAGCGACGAGUGAAUUAUUGGAGCAAAGCAAAGAGAUGCUUAUGAUACCAUAAUUUAUGGGGUUUUUUUUGUUUUGUGUUGGGUACGAACCAUAUUUUAUGGGUUAGAAUAGGGAGAGAGAUGGACAGCGUGCAUGAAUCAUGAAUCGCUUUCUACCGAAUACCGGAUCACAUGAAGAGUCGUACUCAGCUUUCUUGUGUUAAAGAUUUCAAGUUCACUUCUAUCUCUUUUCUUCUUUUUGGAUUUAUUCUACAAUCAAUAAUUGUAAUUUACUUGUACUUGAAGAUAUAUAUAUAUAUAUAUAUGUCUGGUUCAUGUCUCAAAUCAGAACACGGCACGUAAACAAUUAAAUUCUGGUUUUGUGGUCUAUGCGAACGAUGAACAAGGACAAUAAUUCUGUCCAAUAAUUAUUAGGGUAAAAUACACUAAAUCCCCUUGUGGUUUGGGUUAUUAUCAUAAAGCCUCCUCAUUAUUUGAAAACUCUCAAAGAACCCCCUCAUAGUUUGGACUAAUUUGGAUAAUGAACGGAAAUUAUCCAAUUUGACAGAAAAAUAUGAAAUUUCGAUAUUAACCUUAUUUCAAUGUAUACUAAAAGUUAGUUCAGGGUUUACAUAAGAUUUUAAAAUUUUUUUUCACUUUAUUUGAGAAUAAAGAAACAUCAAGUGGCUCAUUUGAAAAUUUCAAAACUUAUCAUCUUCUCCAAAUCUCCACUUUUUCCUUCAACAAUAGUAGAAUAGCCACCGAUUACCACUGCAUCUAAGCUCCUUCCAUGGGUAAUUGAUCCGUUGUUUCUUUCUUAACUAUAAUGCAAAUGUCCGAAUGGUGAUGAACUAAACAACAUUAUUGCUACUAAUUUUCUUUGAAAACAACCAGCAUACCAGAAAAAUUCACUAAUUUCACUAAAAUAAAUUCCCUAAAUUCGCCAUUAUCCUACUUAGUACUGCUGCCAGAAAAACUUACGGCUACCCAACUUUCAAAGUUUCUCCAACAAAUCGACAACAGCAGGUGAGAACUAGCAAAAGCCCAAGGUGAUUUAUCUGCAAUUAAAGAAGGGGGUCUUCUGCACAAUCGUAGCCAUCAAAAUUCAUAACUGGGAGCCCCCCAGAAAUCUAGAUUAUCAUCAAGGUUCUAACUUUUCAAUAACUCUUCCCAGAAACGCAAAUUUUGCUCCACCACCACCCUCAUUUUUCAGUUUCUUGAGUUUUCUGGCCACCUCCGUUCUGACUCCGUUCCAUUCUUUCAAAACAUUGGACGCCGUCGACGAAGACGACGUCGUCGAUUCAGCACCAUCCGACGACAAGUCCAACGACGAGAAGUCAAAGUCACAAGAUUCUCCAUCACAUGACUGCAUGCUCCUACUCGAUCAUCCUCCUUUUCUUUCUUGAUCUCAACACCCAUUAGAUCACGGAAACUAAUUGCCGACGCACCGCAAAAUAUUUCAAAAUUGGAACAAGUGCUCAAAUCGAAGUGGUGAUGUUGAGGACUCCGUGAAACCUACCGGAAGGAUGCCAGAUUUGGACUGCAGUGAACGCCGGAGUUCCAAUUGCGUCGGCCAAAGAGGGGAAUUUCCGGAGGCAACUACUUAGCAGGAACCCUACAGUGCUUUCUGGUUUGCUGCACCAGUAGGUGGGAGAGAGAGGGAAAAGAAAAGAAGAAAAAAAGAAAGUAGUUUGAAGCCCCUGUUUGAAUAAAGGUUGGUAUUGAUUUUGCUUCAGUUUUUCUGCUCCAGAUGGUUCAAGAGAAAGAAGAAAAAGGAAGAACAAGGAAAAAAGAAAAGGAAAGAAAAGAAAAUGUAAAAUUACCACAUUACCCUUGAUAUAUUGUUAUCACACUCGCUUAUCAAGCAUGUGUAAGUCACUUCCCGUCAAAUUGGAUGAUUUCCGUUCGUUGCCCAAAUUAGUCCAAAUCACAAGGGGGUUCUUUGGGGUUUUUAAAUAAUGAGGAAGUUUUAUGAUAAUAACCCAAACCACAAGGGGGUUUAGUGUAUUUCAUAACCCAAACCCUAAUUAUUAAUCUAACACUUUCAUUUGAUUUGUCUGCCUAAUUAAGCUGGACCAAAUCUGAUUUUGGUGACUAAAUAGCUGCAAAAUCGCAGGGUUUUCUGUAUUUUCUGUUUACCAGUUUUUUUUUUUUGUUCCCCAAACGAUAGGGAAUUUCAUUACUUCAUCAAAGUAUUACAAAUUUGGAGCAAAGGCUCCUACAUCAUUUUUGGCUAUACUACUUAGUCAACUUGGGAAUGAAUCAAUCCAGGCUAUCUCAGAAACUAAGUUUAAGGCAAACUUUGCCAAAUGGUGCGAGAAAAAAUUCCCUUCUCUCUUAACAAAAGAGAAGAGACAAGAUCUAAAGCCUUUGCUAAGUACGUCAAUGUAAAAAAGGACAGCUCCUGCUAAAUGAUCAUUCAAGUCCCCCUCUAUGAUUUGAUCAAUAAUUCCCUUGCAAUCUGAUUGGAUGAUGAUGUUCAUCCAUCCAUUCCUCUUGGCAAAAAUAAGAACUUUCCAGAUUGUCAUAGCCUAUUCAACAGUAGGAACUCCCUUCCUUCCUUCACAACCAUCCCAAGCACCUCUUAAUUUCCCUUUACUGCAUCUGGCCACGACUCCCUAACCUACCUUUGCUUCAUUCUGCUUUAUUGCUGCAUCAGUAUUUAAACACAAGAAGUUUUCUGACGGUGGCUCCCAUCUAACCAUCUUGUCUUCUUUUCCCUUGCCUGUUGCCUCCUCAUCCCUUUUUGCUAUGUUAGCUUCCUGGAAUUCCAGCCAUUCUUGUACUACCUUAUUUGUUGUUACACCUGGACAUCUCUCUUCUCUGUUAAACUGUAUCUGAUUUCUGGAUUUCUCAAUCUGCUACAACACAUUUAUAGUCAGCUCAAUAUGCUUCCUUCCUUCCUUCCUAGCCUUUGCUUCCAUCAGACCACUCCACCACUGCCAAAAGUUAUGUCUAUAGUCCUUCAACCCAUUCCAGCUAAUUGGAGCAGCUUUCCAUAUUAGCUCAGCAUGCUUACAGAAAAAGAACAUAUGUUCCAUAGUUUCUGUCCCUUUUCCACAACAACGGCACCCAUCAUUCCCUUGUCGAAUUCUCCUUCUAAUUGUUUCAUUAACUGGCAAUAUGCACUGAAGACAUUUCCAAAUGAAGUGUUUUAGCUUAUGCUUAACGUUCAGGCUCCAUAGAAACUUCCACACCCCUGAAUUAGCUUCAUUCCUGCUGCUACUUUCUUGCUGCAGGCUUUCCCUUCUGCCUUUGAGCUGCAUCUCUUUUGCCACCACAUAUCUAGACUUUACAGUGUACCCACCUGAUUUAGACAGCAUCCAAACUAGUCUAUCCUUAUCACCAAAUGCACUUAUUUGACUAUUAAGUAUUCUUUGGCAGCCCUCCUCCUCAAACAUGUUCUUCAGUAAUCCCUCAUUCCAUCUUCCAUCAGAAAUCAACUCAUGAACUCUCUGUACACAACAAUGCUGAGGUUAUUUUAUUUUAUUUUUCCAUCCUCCAAGUCUAGCAAUCACUUGUCUUCCCAUAUCUUAAUUUGCUGAUCAUUUCCCACUCUCUUUCGUACCCCUUCUGUCAAUACUUCCCUUGAGCUUAGGAUGCUUUUCCAUAUCCAAGAAUCCCCUGCAUGGAUUUUCAUAUUCCGGAUGGAAGAUCCUUUAAAGUACCUCCCCGUAACAAUUUUACUAACUAACAAGUUAGGCCUUAUCAAGAUUCUCCAAAACUGCUUAGCAAGCAUAGCAGUAUUAAAUUGUUGAAGAUCUCUAAAACCCAAUUCCCCUUUCCCUUUCACCUCAGACAACCUCCCCCACUCCAUCUAAUGGAUUUUUCUAUUUUCCUCCUUAUCUCCCCACCAAAAUUUAGCCAUUUCUUUAAAAAUAUCCCUGCAUAAUCCUUUUGGCAGUUUGCAACAACUCAUAGCAUAUGCAGGUAAAGCUAAAAUCACAGAUUUUAAAAGCACAUCCUUGCCAGCAUUAUUUAGCAGCUUCUCCUUCCAUCCACCCAACCUGUUGAUGACCUUUUUCCUGAUGUAGUUAAAGACUUGCUUCUUUGGUCUUCCUAUAACCAUUGGCAAUUCUAGAUACUUACUUUGCUUAGCCUCCUUUAUACCUCUCAAGAUAUUCAGAAUUUCUCCCUUUACUGAAUUCCCAGUAUUCUUACUAAAAAACACUGAGGACUUCUCAGCAUUUAUAGCUUGUCCUGAGGCUUCUCCAUCAUCUUCAACAACUUCAUCACAUGAGCAGCCUCUUUCUUGUUAGCUCUGCAGAACACCAAAGUAUCAUCUGCAAAAAAGAGGUGAGACAAAACUGGACUCUGCUGAGCAAUCCUAAGUCCAGAAAUGUCCUGGUUAUACAUUGCUCUCUUAAACAAACUUGAUAAUCCCUCAGACACUUGCAAGAAAAUGUAUGGAGACAGAGGAUCUCCUUGCCUAAUUUCCCUUGUAGGUGUAACCAAACUUUUUUUUUCCCAUUCAAAUUAAAAGAGUAAACAACAGAAGACAUGCACUUCAAAAUCCAGUUUCUCCACUUCUGACAAAAACCCAUUUUUUCCAUAACUUUUUGCACAAAAAGCCACUCCAUCCUAUCAUAAGCUUUGGCCAUAUCAAGUUUUAAAGCCAUGAAAGCAUUUGAUCCACAUCUUCUGUUAUUCAAACAAUGGAUGAAUUCAUGUGCAAUAACAACAUUAUCAAUUAUUUGUCUUUCUAGAAUAAAAGCUGAUUGGUUUUGGCUAACACAGUGUUUUAGCAGAGGCUUAAGUCUGUUGACCAAGAUUUUAGAGAUUAUCCUAUAGACUACAUUACACAAGCUAGUUGGUCUAAACUGAGAAAUAGACAUUGGGGAAUCAAUUUUAGGAAUAAGAGUGAUGAUAGUCUCAUUGACAGCCUUCAGUAAGUGACCAGAAUAAAAGAAACUAGAUAUGGCAUUCACCAAAUCAUCUUUUAACACACUUCAGUACUGUUGGAAAAAGGCAGGAGUCAUACCAUCAGGUCCAGAAGCUUUGUUGGGUUGCAAAGAGAAAACAGAUUUUUUGACUUCCAUUUCUGAUACAGGUCUAACCAGUAUAGCAUUCAUUUGGUCUGUGAUCACUAGGGGGAUCCCACUCAAUACUGGCUCAAGGUGCUGGGAAUUACUGGAAGUGAAAAGUUCCUAAAAGUAACCAUUGAUUUCAUCCUCAAUGUCUUGCUCUGAUUCACACCAAGAUCCAUGUCCUCUUUGCAAACUUGAUAUGUUAUUCCUUCUCCUCCUCUCAGCAACACUAGCAUGAAAAAAUUUUGUAUUCUUAUCACCUUCCUUCAACCAUUUAACUCUAGCUUUCUACUACCAAAACACAUCCUCUCUCCUAUAGGCCUCUUCUAGUUUCUUUUUAAGCUCUCUCACCCUCCCAGCCUUAUUGGCUUGACCAUCUCCAUGAGCCUUUGUGAUCUUCUGUUUCAGCUCUACAAUCUCUUUUUUUGCAUUUACACCCUUUUGCCUAUUCCAGUUCAAAAGAGCUACUCUACAAUUCUUGAUUUUUUGAUGCAGCUUAAAGAAUCUAGAUUCUUCCUAUUGUUUCCUCCAUUCCUUAGUAACAAUCUCUCCCACCUCCUUAUUGUUUAUCUAGUUCCUAUCAAAAUAGAACUUCAUUUUCCAUUUUCUACCCUUUUGCUCAGUGUCAAACAAUAGCAUGGCAUGAUCAGAGGCAUCAUUUUGGAUAUGUAGGCAUUUAGCCUUUUCAUGCUCUCUUUUCCACUGUCUACUGCAUAGAACUCUAUCCAAACGUUCCUUUACUUCCUUCCCCUCUUCCCAAUUAUUUGACCAUGUCCAUGGCACUCCUUCAAAGCCAAUGUCAAUGAGCUAAUUAGUGUUUACAAAAUCCCUGAAAUUUUGAAAACUUCUUUCAGGCCUCCUACUACCCCCUUACUUCUCAUCAUUAGACAGUAUAUCAUUCAUAUCCCCUGCCAGCACCCAUUUCUGCCCUACACUCUCAUCCUAUCUUUGAUGAUCCUCCACUGUUUCUUUCUAAUCUGAUCCUCACUACUAGCAUAUAUAAAAAUCAGCUAUCACCUAUCUCUAGCACCAGUCCUUUCUAGCAACAAUUCAAUAGUAAAGUCAGUAUAAAAUAACGUACAAACAUGCAAAUCAUUCUUCCACAUUACUGCCAUCCUACCAGCUAUUCCAAUUGGAUCCACCACACACAGUCUAUCAUAUCUUAACUUUAGUCUCACCUUAUUCAAAAUUUCUUUUUUGUUUUUUGUUUCUGAUAAGAAAAUCAACUUAGGAGAGUGGAGUUUGACACUCUCCUCUAUCUGGGGAACUGUCAAGGGGCUCCCAACAUUUCGACAGUUCCACACUAGAGCUCUCAUUAGAAUCUGGGAGCCCCAUUUAAGUAGGACUCCACCACCUCAGAUGCUAGUUCCAUCCCAGCCACACCACUCACAGUUUUGCCUCUCUUCUGGCUUUCCCCUUAUUCCCUAAUAUUUUCCUUAUCCAUACUCUCACUCAGCUUCCUUUUUCCCCCCUUCAUUUUCUAUGUCCAUUCCCUCAUUCUUUUCCCCCAGAGGUAUUUUUUUGCUCACCUCACGAACUAACCUCUUCCACCCUCUACUCCCCUUAUACUUCCCACCUCUUAUACCUAUACUACCAUGCAGCUCCUAUUGUUCUAUUGCACGAUCAAUCCCCCUUAUCCCCUCUAUCCCUUUCCUUAUUGUCAGUGUCAAUUCCAUCAAUCCAUGUGGAAUCAAACAGUUCCUUUCAUUCAGACCCCCUCUCUGGCUACCCUCCUGUAUUUCCUCCUCAGCCGUGAAAUUUAAUCCCUUAGUGGCUUUACUCUUUUCCUUUAUAACAUCUUCAUUCUUCUUAUAACCAGACUUCAAGCUCUCUUUCUUAAUGUCUUCCAAUACUACCCCCUUCUCCCUACUCUUUUUAGUAACUUUCAUUACUGCCUCUUGAUCCCUCUCCUUAGUUCCCUCACUCCCUUUUACUACUGUAUCAACAUUAACCUCCACUAGCUUCCCAGGCAGACAAAGUUGUUCCUGCACCUUGUCCCCCCAUCCCUUGGACAACUGUGGCCUUUCACCACCCUUACUCUCCCCCAUGCUAGAGGUAUUCUGUUUCCUAACUAGGGUCCUCGCAUUGCUAGCUGUAAGCCAAGCUCCAUACUGAUUUUCCUUUUCUAUAUUAACUCACUUUUCCCUGCAAAUUCUCUCAUUAUGCCCCAUGAUCCCACAACAGUAGCAAAAGUUAGGGCAUUUCUCGUAUUUGAAUUCUAUCCAUCUAGUACUACCCCCUAGCUUAACUGUGGUUCCUUUUAGCAUUGGCUUAGUUAACUCCAUCUCAACCAGAAUUUUUAAAUGUUUCCCUUCUUUUCCACCACCAUUAGGAAUAAUCACUUCCUUUACAGAAUUGAAAACUCCCCCAAUUUUCCUACUAAUGUCCUUAGUAAUCCAAUGAAUAGGUAAAUUCCACAGCUGAACCCAAAUCCAAGUCCUAUUAAAAGCUUCAAGGUUCUGUUCUAACCCUUCCUUCCAUGGUAAAACUACUAAUGGCAAAUUAUCAUAUACCCAUGGCCUUUCCCUCAGCACCCUAUCCAUAUCCUAAUUAUUACUGAAUACAAACUGGAACAUAUUAACCCUAUCUCAACAACUCUUAGAUUUCUAGUAAACGACCACAUAUUAUUUGUAAAACUCUUUAUACCAGCAAUGUUUGCAGUCUUCUCCCCCACCACCCUUCGAAUAAUACUCAAUUAACAUUCAACUACUCCCUGAGCCAAGUCCUUACCAUCCAAUUCCACAUCCUCAGCGUCCUCCUCUGUCAGAGCAAAUUUCCUUAAAAUUUCCUCCAGAUCUUCAGUCAUCCUAAACCACUACCAGUAAGAUCCCCAGCUAACCACAGACCAAAAGAGCAAUACCAGAAUCCCGUCCAAUCAGAAACAGAGUCUACAAAAUAGCAAAAGAAAGCAACAAAGACCAAAGGAAUGAAAACCAAAAAACACGGCCGAUCAAAAACUAUAUCAGUAGGAUUAAGAGACCUAUACGGACAAUACUAAGCUACUAAUAACUGCAAUGGAAAAUGUCACCUGGAAGCAGAACUUAGAUCUAUGGUGAAGAAGUAUCUGAAGUAGAAAUUAAGAUCGAGAUGGAAGCUGUAAGCAAGAAUGCAAGCUCAGAAGAGUUCGAAUCUAGCUUGCGCAGAAAUCAGCUCGCAGUAGCCACAAACCAAGGAUGUAGCAAACAAUGAACGAGUAGAGAUGGGAUGACAACAUCAUGAUAUUAUUCCACUGAAUUCACCAUUGAAGCAACAUCAAUGUGGAUCGAAAUCAAAAGAACAAAUUAAAUUUGUUUUUGUUUUUGUUUGAUGAAGAAAGUACGGGAAAUUUGAAUUUGAAAAAGCAAGUUCAAACACCCAAUAAAGGUGAAUUUGGCUCCCUACUUAGAGAGAGAAAGUAACCACCUACAAGAGGGACUUCUGUUCACCAGCUGAUUUUUUUUUUUGAUAAAAACCCACAAAUUAUUGGAAAUCAUUCAAUACAAUUUGACUUACGUCAGUGCUCAGUUUGUUGAUCUAAUUCACCAAAAUAGUUCAGGGGCUAAUGCCAUAUUUCACCAAAUCUCAAAGUAACCAAGCUCUAGUACUUUGAUGGGAUAAAAUGGUAUUAGCCCACAAAAAAAAAAGAGCCUCUGACCUUACAAGAAUAAUUAAAAUUGUUAAAUCAUUUUACUUUAAUUUCUCAGCAUCUAUUUCCAGAAUAAUUUUAUCACCAAUUUGUCCUUCAGCUAUCAAUAAAGUAGGUGUAUACAACAGCCUCAAGAGCAACAUGAAGCUUGUAUGUACACUACACUUAAGACUAUGAGUUUUCUUGGAUUUUGUACCACAAAUAAGAAAUUUAUAGAGAUAAACUUGAAUAUGAGAGGGGUCAAACAUACACCUUUCCAUUGAAUUGUUUACUUUUGCAUAACUUAUUUUCAUCAAGAUCAUAAAAUAAUUAUGAAUUGAAAUAUGUUGAUCAAUUGUCCUGUCCGUUUAUAUAUCAUAUACAUGUACAUGUCUGUCAUCACUUCAGAAAACAUUUGUAUUAUCAUAUACCCUCGUAAGCCUGUAAGGGAAAGACGUAAGGGAGAGACAUUCAUCAGUAUAUUCAGCAUGUGACAGUGGGAAGUGACAGUUUGGACAGAAAGAGAGUGAUCAAAAUACAGGUACAUUAGCAGUGGACAAAUUUCUUUGGGUCUCAAAAUGUAGCACUUUUCUAUAUAUUUUUCGUGGAUCCUUAAUGCAAUUCAAAUCAUGUAUGCAUACAUGCAAGGGACAAUUGUUCAUUAAUGCCCCCAUCACUAUUGCCAGCAGAUAUGAUUUUAGCAGUUUAUGAUUAUAGAGGGCUAGAUGCUUGGAGGCAUGUGAUAUCAUGGGUCCAAUGUUACAAUCAAUCAAUAGUUCCCCCUUUGCUGAUAUGAAAAUGCAUGGAUAUGUAUUCAAUGAAAAUUACAGCUAACGAUUUCAUUGGAAAUAAUAAUGUUAAGAAUUAUGAUACUAUGUUGAUUAAGCCUAAGCCAAACUCAAUUCACUUCCACAUUGAAAUGGGUAAUUAUGAUUGUACCAAUAUUAAUGGAUAUUAUCAGUUCUUUGUGACGUUUCUGCUUUGAAAAUGAUAAUACUUUCAUGGUCCUAGAACAUGUGUAUAUAAAAAGGGAAAAAAGUUGAAAGGAUAACAAUUGAAGAAAAACACUAUGAAUUGAGUCUUGCAUGAGGACAUCUAAUUGAGGAAACAUUUACAUGACUAUUUUUUAUUUUUAUUAUUCAUUUUUUAAUUUUUUUUUUUUGGAGGUAUAGUACUUUGGGCACAUGAAAUGCUUAAUUUUUGUGGAUAAUUAGUAUGCUAGCAUGGUAUUCUACACGAGAGGAUUGGAUUAUAAGGUGGGAGGGAUUGUAAGAAAGAGAUUAUGCUUCAAAACCUCAAAAGAAAAAAAAAUGAAAAGAGCAUGAUAAUCUACAAAAUGACAAAUUGAAUGGUUUUCCUUUUCAGAAGCCGGCUUGUGAAACUGGACAUCAAUCUCCUGACAAGACCAAGGAAAAUGAAAUGCUGCACAUUUCACCACUUAUUUAGACCCCCAGAAGCCCAUUUUAAGCCCCAAGCCCAAAGUGUCAUGUAAAUACACCAACCCUGAAGUAUGUGUCCAUCAAUAACAUAUUUAGAAAUUUGGGCUUGUUGGCUUGUUUGUGUUGCAAAUUUAGAAAAGGGAAAAGAAGUUGGCUGGUUUGUCUUGCAAAUUUAGUGGAAUUUCCUUCUUUUUUUUCUUAUUUGGAUUUUUUAGGUAUUUUCUUAAAAGAUAUACAAUCAUUUUUCUUAACUUGCAUACAUCACAUUUCAAAAAAUUUCUACAGUAGUACAUUCCCAUAACAACUCCCAAAAUUGCAAUGACGUAAUUUCAAAUUAUUAAUCUCUAAAAGUUUCUUUGUUCACUUAAAAGAGGAAAUUUUUCCUACACUGACGGUGUAUACACUAUUAUCGUUAGAUUCAUGACAUGGUGUGCAAAAGUUGAAUUUCAAAUUCAAAUUUUACACAGUUAUCAAUCAUCCAACGCUGAUAGUGUAUACACUGUCAGUGUAGGAAAAAUUAAAACCAUUGCUUAAAGCCACCCAGCCCCCUCGCUACACCUAAACUUAUUUUAGGUCACCAUAUCAGUUGGGCAACAGUGACCUUGCAUGCAGAGUAAACUCAAAUUGUAAAAAAUUGGGGGGGGGGGGAUCGGGGGGAGUCAACUCUAUUUUAUUCAUAUAUUUACUUAUUAUGAAUUAAAAUUUUCAAAACUUAGGAGGGCAUGACCCUCUUCAACCCCCCUUGGCUCCUUCGUUGAGUAACAGAUGGUUGGUGCACUUUAUGGCAUCAACAAAUGUAAUUGAGUAAGUUCCCAAAGUUUCCAACUUGAAAUAGUUAGUGUACUAUAUUUACAUUACUCAAUGGUAAUUAAAUACUAAUGUUGAUAUGCUUACAUUACGACAUGAUAAGAAAGUAAUGGAUGUCAAAAUUUUGUCCUAUGGUACUGUACACAACCAUAUAUUACAACAUAAUAUUCUCCUUGAUCCCUUGCUCAAAAAUGAAAAAAGUCGUAGUCUGAAACCUUCUGAUCUGGAGUCCUUGCAUCGCAAUAGUUUGAGACCUUCUGAUUUGGAGUCCUUGUAUUGUAUGUGAUCAAAGGCGUGAAAAUCACUUGCGUCAAACAUGGGAUACUAGGAAUUUGUCGUCCUUGUAUUCUUCCAAAAACGUUGGAGCAAUUCGAAACAGUAUUCUUCUCAUCACCUGAAAGAAGGUAGACGUCUUCGACUACUACGUCCCUGCAUGGAACUGUCUCGCUGCAUCUUAAACUGCUACAUUUUUCUUUGAUGUCCCAAGUACUUGUCUAAACUUGAUGUCGUGAAUUUGCACUGCUGAAUCCUGAAACAAGAACUUUAAAAAAGUGAGCUCCUGACUGAUAGAUUAAGGUGAUAGAUUAAACUGUGUGAUUUGAAAAUCGUAACAAAGAAAAAAAGUUAUAAGUUGUAACAAGUGCAUAUUAGCAUCAGUGGAAAGAUGAAUAUUCUGAAGAGAAAAGAAGAAAUAACUUACCCGAUCUGUACAGUUUCUGUGAUCACAGUAGAAUUGAUCAAUAAUGAUGGGGUUUGCUGCUUCAUGAAACCAAAUUCUUUCGAAGGUUAUGUUCCUUGCAUAACCUCUUCCUCCCUGAUAGCACAAAAUUAUAAACAGAUACUCGAUCAGGAGAUUAUUGACAAAAUAACUCGUAAUUUAGACUCCAUGUUUCUGUAAAAGAAUAUGGAUAAUUUCCAAAAAGCCUGUAUUAAUGCACUUGAGCAACUGAUUAAGUACCUGCCAUGAUUUAAUUCUAGCACCAUUGGUUGAUUUGGUGAAUACAAUAUCACCGACGUAAACGUUUUCGACUUUGUGGUUUGCACCAUCCUUGCCGAAACUCCCAAUACUGUAUUAACAUUUAUAGCCAAAGAAAAAUAAAUAAAUAAAUCAGCAACAAGCAACCUCUGAAAUAUUAUCUUUGAAAAGAAAAAACAGAAAAGAAAAAGGCUUCAUAAUGUGAAACAAAGCAUUGGCACUAUUCUUAGUUUGAUUCAGUUCUUCCACACCCGCUAGAUUGCCUUACACAAGGAUAAAAUCAGCCUUAGGAUCACAAUAUAAACUGACAACAAAAUGUUUCAAAUAUUGCAGACUUUUUAUGGUUUUCAUUUCAAACAAUUUGAAUAAUCAAUGAUUUUUUUUUUGUUUUUAAAUUAUCAUACAUGCAUAUAGUUCGAAUCAUCAAAACCAAGCAAAAAACCUGCCAAAUCAACUUAACCAAAAACCAAAAAAAAAAAAAUAUAUAUAUAUAUAUAUAUUUCAUGCCUGGAUCUUUUCAACAGAUUCUAUUCCAAAUAAGCAGGAAAUUUGUUUUGCCUUAUACCAUUCCCAGGGCCACACAAUAUGUUGUUGACUUUCACAUCUGCACAUCCAUCUACAAUCGAGAUGCAAUCAUCACCUGUGCAAAAAAUAAAUAAGACAACGUGAUAAGUAAACAAACUGAACUUUUAAUCAUCAUAUCAAUAAUUUUCUAUAGCUUUCUGUUUACCAAGCAGAGUUAAAUUAGUAUCACGUUUUAAAAUAAUGUUUAUCAUUACAGUAUGAAUACUUAAUUCUUUGGAGUUUAGUGUAUGUGCAAAAGGAAUUAAGUACCUGUACUUUUAUUGGAAUCCACAAUGGUAGCAUUUGUGGCAUCAAUCUUUAUCCUUGAGACAAAAAGUGAUCUUAAAUGAUUCAGGAUAAUAUGCAUUCGAGGGUUGUCCUUGAAAUUCAGAUUAAUCAACUGAACAUCCUCCGAGUUCGAAAUCUGCAAAGCCUGUUGAAAAAAUAUUCAUAGCUAGUACUGUUAUUAUUUCUUUCUCCAAGCUUAUAUAUAUAAGAUGUUUUACAAAGGACACCAAACUCACCGCUGGUUUCUUGAGACUCUGUAAAAGGACAAAAAAAAAGGGGUUAGUUCUAGACAAUGAAAUAACGAACGUCAAUAGUGAACCUGACGAGAAAAUAUAAUAGUACUCCUUACAUGGAUAUUCCACCAUUUGUCUCCUCGACCAUGAAUUCUGCCACCACCAUAAAGUCUUAGUCCAUGUACAUGUUUGAAAUGGAUCCACUUCAUCCAAUUUUCGUCGCAGCAUUUCCACUUUGAGGGAUUCUCUGGUGCUACAAUUUCUCCUUUAAUCUGCAUGAAUUUUAAUCAGUAACUUUGAUAAUAAUAGGUUAGUUAUAAAAAAGAAAAAAGAGAUGAGGAGAAAAGUAUUGAGUGGUGUAUACUUCAAUAUACACCAGUAGACUGUAAUAUCACCAUGGCCAUGUUAUGAAAAAUAUAUCCAUGUCUCUCAAACUAAUUUAAUCCAAUUCUCUAGUAAGAUUCUAAGAUAUUAUUAAUUGUACCUUGGAGUUUAAUCAAUGUGAUUAGAAGUUCUUAAAUUUCUCCACAUGAACAAAAAAGAUUGUGAUAUCUUACCCUAUGUAGUCAAAAAAUAAAAAUUCAAUGUAAUUCCCUGAUAGGAUUGUAUAUAUUUACUUUACAUCUGGGACGAUUACACAUAUACCAUGAUUUUCAAUAUGGAAAUAAGAGGCACUACAAAAAAAAAAAAAAAAUCAUCUUAUUUCUUCUUACCUAAAAUUUUGAGAGGUAUACAUCUUUGUUUUCAGAUUCGGAUUGAACCGGCCAGUUCAACUGAUCGAAUCGGACACAAGUCAGGUAUUCAAUCUAAGUUAUUCUAAAACCCCCAUUGGAAGAAGUUCAGUCAAACCCGAUCAAAAAUCGGGUUGAACCAUGAACCGUGCAAACCGGGUUAAUUUCCAUUUUCUCAUUUUGCUUGACUUUUCAACCGACCAUCACCACCAAAAUCACACCCCACUUCUCUUUUUCCUCAUCCAAUUUUCCUCCUCACUUCACAGAGACUUGACAGUAGCCUCAUCUCCCUACGCCGGCAACUUCAUCUCGUUAAGGUAAGUUUCUUUCUCUUCAUUUGUCUUUUUUUUUUAAUUUUUUUAAUUUUUAUUUAUUGCAAGUAUAAAAGUGUUAAUUGGCAUCUGCUUUGCUCUUAGGGAUCGCCUCUAUGUACUCAUAUUGUUUGUUUUCAUACUAGUAGUAGUUAAAAACGGGCAUCAAUACAAUAAGCAGAAUAGUAAUAAUUGAUACUACUAUUUGGGAAUCAAGUUUUGUAUUAGUGUUUUUUCAUUUUUGGCAUUUGUAUUUAGAUUAAGCUUCGCAUGUCAGAAGUAAGAACUUGCUCUAGGUUAUAUUUUGCAAUAAUUUGUGACAUAUGAGUUCUAAGAAAAAGAACUAAAAUGUAUAUAUUGGGCCUAGAAAUUUCUUGAAUAACUCAAUGUAUAGAAACUUAAUAUGUGAAUACCUAAAUAAAUACUAUGUUUUCAACUGAACAAAACUUGUUAUACUUCAAUUUGUUCUUUUAGAUGAUGUUGCUACGUCGAAGUUUCAAAGUGAAACAAGUUAUUACAGUAUUUCAACUUGAGGGAGUUGAUGAAUAUACAAAUAGAGGUGUACUUUUCAUUGUCUUCAGAUUUAACAUGUAUUAGAUUUCUAUUUAGUUUAGUUUGUUAGUUUCGAUAGAUUUGGAGGUUACUGUUCUUCAUUUGUGAAGUUAUUCUUUGGAUUGUAUUGUUUGAGUUUUCAAAGUUGGUUUUACUUCAUGGAUAUGAUAUGUAGGAAAUGUAUAGGACAAAGAAAAACACCAAAAUGUAUAUACUUUUCAUGGCAUUUCAGGGUUUAUAUAUUUAAUAUAUAUUUAUGAUAUCAUGAUGACAUCAUCUGAUUGGACCCUAAUCGAACCGGUCGAACUAAUUGACCCCUAACCCUUGAGUUCGGCCGAGUCAACACCCGGUCCGAGUCUAAAAACAUAGACAUACAUAGGUGCUUUCCUCUAGUAAUUGAGAGUAUAUAAUUUGGGUCGGACCAAAAAAAGAAAAGAGAGAGAGAGAGAGAGAGUAUAUAAUUUGAGUGUGUACGAUACUAGACUGUAGUGGGUUCAAUGCAAGAAAAGUAUCGACCUGACUCUAAUAUGGGUAUCAUAUAUGUCUAUUUACUAAAACCGGUUUAUGCAUAGGCAGUAAAGGUUGGCGAGAUAGUUUAGGUGAAUUUGAAGAGACUACACAAUCCAAGCCUGGAAAUUACUAAUUGUUUAUUUUUUUUUUCUACCAAAGUGCAAUUAGCUCUUUAAAUUUCAAGGGCCAAAAAAAAUGAAGGAACGAAAAAGAAGAAAGAAGAAAGUGCUAUUUUAAUCAAACACCUCACCUCAACAUUGAUGAUUGAGGAUUUGCAAGGCCCGCUGAAUAACACAGGAUGGAUCAAGAACAUCCCAUCUGCAGGAACUUCCAUAAUUGGAGGAGAAGAUGAUGAAGACGUGCAAGUCGCAUUCCACGCUUCCAUGAAAGCCUAAAUCAGCUCAGACAUUAAGACAAAUUAAUUGCUCAUGCAAUAUAGUUAAUUACGUUUAUAAUCAUCAGCAUAGCUAGUAUUUAAGGUAUGGGCAAUCUUAGGCCCUGUUGGGAUUGCCAUUUUCUGCCAGAAAAGUACGUCGUUUUCCGUGAUCACAUUUCCCUAUUACCUUUUUUUCUCACAUACAUCAAAUCGCUACAGUAAUUUUUUCAUAAAAAAUGACAGAAAAUGCAAUCCAAACAGGGCCUUAGUAUCAUAUAUAGGUUUUUGAAUUCAUAUUAUUACAUUUGUGUCAUCUGUCUUGCCAUCCCCAGCUGCAUAAUAAUCACGAACAUUGUGAACUGAUGAUGAAUCAGACUUUGUCACCACGAAAGAAGGGAGAAUUAAUGCGACGAUAAUCAACAGCGGCAAAAAAAUUUUAACUCGUCGAUUUGUGAAGGAACAUAGCAUCCAACCGAUUUGAACUACAAACAAGAAAAAGGAAUGAAACCGAUUUGCACUUACAACCGAUUUGACUUGUCGAUGUUUCCUUUCUUUCGAAGCAAAUCGGAUUCAGAUACGGUAGGGCCACAAAUACUAAACAAGUUUAAAAAGCUGCACCAAAACCCACAAAAAUUACGAUCUCAUGAUUAAAAAAAAAAUGUAGUGAAAAAAAUAUCAAUUCUCACAAGUCAUUCAUGCUUAUAAGAGGAAGAUAAGAUUUUCUUGUAAACAUAUUCCGAACAUAAUACAAAUAUAUUUGGUUACUAUUAGUAGUAAAUUAAACAAGCAAAGGUGUUAGACUUCUCUUUUCAAACGAUACAUUUUGAGCAAUGAUCACAAGGACACAAUAAUCAAGUCACAGAAUUUGAAGCGUAUGUUCAUCCUUUGGUUCUUUUUGAAUAUGAAUUAAACGUCAGGAUAAGUUUGACAAUAAAAUGUUGUUUCUAAUGGCAAUUCACAUUACCUUAGACAAAAGUAAUAUAAUAAGCGUAAAUUUUAUAUACACUGAUAGUGUAUAUAAUAUCAUUAUUGAAUUCAUGAUACAUGUGCAAAAAUUAAACUUUGAAUUCAAAUUUUACAUAGUUAUAAUUUAUCCAAUACUAACAUUAUAUACGAUCAGUGUAUAAAAGAUUAAUCCAUAUUAUAACAUUAAACCAAGGAAACUAUGAACAUAUAACAAAGAAUGCACAGUGGCUUGUAUUAACUAUAGUACUCAAUGUUCACAUCUUUGGCUUUGUUGUUCCUUUCUCAAAAUAGAGACCGUAGACAAUUAGACCGUUUUAAUUGAAGUUCUAGUGACAAAUAUAAUUUAAUGCUUAUAUAUAUAUAUAUAUAUAUAUAUAUACACACACACACAAACAAAAGAAAAAAUUGCUUUUGAAUAAAUAAAGAAAAUUAAAUUAAAAAAUUGGGUAAAUUACUUUAUACAAAAAAAAAACAAAAGAAAAAAUGAUGAUUGUGUGAAUGCAGGUACAUUGUUAUUACAAUGGAACACUAAAAGAAAACUUAGGUGACAAAGAGUCAUUGGAUGUCUAAAAAAUCCCAAACCAGAAUGAUCCUAAUAUACUUUAAUUAACUCUUUUGUAAAAAUACCCAAAGAAACGCAAUUUGAUUGCAAAAUCCAUUUUGCACUUUUAAGUUUUAAAUAAACCGUAAACUCCACUCGAUCCAGCUGGAUUCACCAUGAGGUCCAUGACCCAGUUUUGCCGUGAGCCCUAUUAGAGUCAAAUCGAUAGCAAUUUGCUUGUCAAAGAGGUCAAAAGAUCCCAGCUACAGAACCAGUAACCCUCUAGUCGGACAGACUGUGGACGUCUGCGCGGAGAUGUUCGAUGAUGCGUUGAAAGAACUGCGGAAAUCGUUGAAUGAGAUGCAUCAUCUUAGACCCGACAAGGAAUUUCAUGGCAAGUCUAAAGUUGGCCACAUGGGAUCGAAUCCCAUAAUGUUAGUCAUAGUAGAGUUAUAAGUCUUGUGUUGGGUUAUUGUACGAAGUAGAAGUGGCCUCUAGCUUUGUCCUAGAGUAUAGCCUCUGCGUCUGUCUUUUAGCCUUAAGAAGAAGUAGUAACCUCCGUUGGUUUUUUGUAUGGUGUAGCCAAAGCCUCGUUUGAUUAAUAAAAAAUUUCCCUUUGCUUCUAUAUCGUUUUUCUUCAUUUUUUUCUGUGGGUUCAUGCGUGUUUAUUUGUUUGGAUCCAUCACCGUGGACCGACUAAAACAGAUGUGUUUCGUCGUGUUGACUUUAUUUUGGCCAUGAUUUGCAGAUGCUUGGAUUGAACCUCGAAAAAUUGAGAAAUUAAAUUUGGCCUUUCUUUUAAGGUAAACAAGACUUUGAAAUCUCAAAGGAAAAGGUAAACUAGACAUUUAAACCUCUCAUUGGAAGGAGCCAACUAGAUGUUGCAGCUGAUGGACUGAGCGACGUAAAUGCUCCGCUGCGUCUUUGAACAUGGCCACACAAUCCUUCAAGGCAAAUACAACUCCUGGCUCGGCUACCUUGCAUACUUUACUUGGAGAAGUAUUUAGCUGUUUCUGAGAGGGCUGCAAGUAAAACAAUAACUAUUACGAGAGGAAUCGAGCUUAGUACAUGAUGUUUCAAGGCCAAUUCUGCUAAAUCGGAGCCCUAACAUGAGGGUUUUAGGAUAGACUAAUUGACAGCCCAUUGGUAUGUAUGAAACAGCAGCAGUAGGAAAUCCGCCUUUCACCUGUUCUGUUAUGAAGGUAAACUUUAUAAAAAUGCGCAGACAGAUCAUCUAAGACACACAAUUAUUGCUAAAAGAAGAACUUUCGGAAACUCAAAAUAGUACAAUGUUAAGUAUGUAUUACUUUCUAGAUCAUAUAUUUUAGGGUAAAAAACAAAAAAAAAACCCCUGUGAUAAAUCUAAUACACAGAAAAGCCUCUCGUGAUUUCAAAAUAUAUAACACGGUACCCCGUACUUUGAACUAAAUUAUAAAGGUGACAAAAUCCGUUAAACUUAACAGAAAUUGAUGAAAUGACCAAAAUGCCCUGAUAUAAUUACGCAAAAUACAGUUCAAAAAAAUCAUUUGUUUAAUUUUCUAAAUAGAGAGAAUUGAGGGUUAAGGAGUAGAACAGGUAUAUUUGUUAAAAAUUAGGUAUAAAAAUAUUUUUUAAGGUUUCAAUAAGUAAUUUUCGUUAAGUUUAACGGAUUCCGUCAUCUUUACAAUUUAGUUCAAAGUACGGGGCGUCGUGUUGUAUAUUUUGAAACCACUGAGGGUUUUUUUGUGUAUUAGGUUUACCACAUAGGGUUUUUUUGUAUUUUACCCUAUAUUUUAGUAACCCCAUGCUAAUAUGAUAUCUAGUCACUGACAAAGAUAUAAGCAAGUAGAGAUUUAUAGACAAGAAGUCUCUACUUUAGAAACAGAACAUCUAGCUUAAAAACAAAACAUAUACAUAUACAUAUAUAUAUAUAUAUAUAUAUAUAUAUAAAUAUGAAUGAGAUUAAUUUCUAGUUCUAAACCAGCCCUAUCCCUAAUCGUUAAGCUCAAAUGCUAGACAUGGUUUGUCAAAGGUAGCAAGCACAAAUAACUGAAAAGCUUGUUGCAUUUGGAGCCACAAAUUUCAAUUGCUCAAGCAGCAAAUAAGUUUCCAAAUAAUUGAAGAAACUAAGCUAAUCCCCCAUAUGUCACUUGUAUCAAGCAGCAAUUUGCUGUUUGAUCAUGAAUACAAUAAUUGACAUAUCAAUGAUUUCAUCAACGAGAAUAUUUAUUGCAAACAGCUAAGCAUACCUCCUUUAAACUUCAACUAAAGAAACAGGAGGAUUGUAACCCACAGCUUCUAGCAAACACCAUUUUCCCAAAAAAAAAAAAAAAAAACCCUUAGAACACAUAGUAUAACUUAAACGUAUACCUUAAAAUUCCCAAAAAUUAAUCAUAUUGCAGAAACCUAGGUGUACUUGCAGAAAAAUGGAAUACAUUCCAACAUAAAUGGGAUGGCAAGAAAUUUGGGUGGGGAACAAAAAGACAAAAGCGGCAUAUUGCAGGAUACUGUUCUAAGCAGACAAAUGGGCCAAAAUUCACAGAUAAGUGAGGCCCCUUGGAGCCCACUCUACAUCAAUCCAACAAGUCACAACAGUUCCAAGGGUAGAAGCCCAUAAGUUAACCAAAGCAAAAACAUUUUUUUGUCUUGUCGACAUUUUGUAACAUGAAAUGCACCCACAUGUUGGGCUUGGGUCCUUUUUUGUUUUUCCAUGAAUUCAACAUAAUUUCAACGUUUCCAGCGUCUCCAUCUUCUUAGAUAGGACGCUUACAAGAAUAUUAUCAAGAUCAAUGUUGUAUUAAAUUUCAAUGUCAUAGUACUCGAUGUUGCUCUAUUUUAGUACAAUUUUACAUGCAGAUUACUAUAAAUUUUGAAAACCAUUUCCAUUGAAAAGAGAGAUACUUUUUAAAAUUAAGCGCACACACGUAGAAUGAGUUAAAAUGACUUGUGUUGGUAAUUACUAUGCAGAUCCAAACCUCCCAAAUUUAUGACAAUUUGUUCAUUUUAUUUUGUUUUUCUUAAGUACAAUUGUACAGUUAACAAUAUUUGUUUCACACUUGUAGUACAAUUGGUAACUAGUAUUGCGAUUGUAAACCUUGGAAUAUUUGUUCUUGUUUUAAGAAUUUAGCAAAUAAUGUUUCAGACUUAUUUGAGAUGAGGAAAAGUAUAUGAGUGUGUUUGGAUACAAGUUUUUUUUUUUUUUUUUGCCAAAUUUUAUUUUUUUACAUCAUAAAUAUAUCUUUUAAUUAUAUUUUAAUACUAUGAAUCGUCUUUCUGUCUCACAUACAUCAUAUCACAAAAAAAUAUUAUAAAAUUAUUACAAGUAAAUUUUGCAAAUAAUCUCCUAUCCAAACAAGCCCAAUGGGUGUAUUCGUAGUUUGCUAGAAUUUAAAAGGCCACAACUUUGAGAAGACCCAUUAACUAAUUAAUAUUAGUGAUCGAUUGUGGGGUUGUAAUCUCCUAUUUGUAAAAUUGGGGAUCUCCUGUAAUGGCUCGGCCUGUCAAUCGGGCCUAAUGAGUCGGGCUUUGAUGAGUUCAACCUCAACUCAUUUAAUUUGAAACAUUUUCGGGCUUCAGGUUAUGAGUUUCGGGUUCGUAAAUAUGAAGCUCAUACUCAACUCACAAAAUAUUCGGGUUGUGAGCCUUAAUCGGGUUUAGCCCAAGCUCACUUUUUACUCCUUAAUUUUCUUAAUAUAAUUACUAUAACUAUUAUGUUGUAAAACUAAUUUAACAUUUACAAGACUAUAAUAUUAAAACUAAACAUGAACAAAUAAUAGUUCUUAAAAAGUAUAUAAACCAAAAAAUUUUUCAACAAUAUUUAUAUUUAAUCCAUUUAAAAUGCAUGAAAAAUAGUAAUAAAAUAUGCGAUCAUAAGCCAAUACAUCUUUAAAAGUUGAAACUUUUUUUUAUAAUCUUGUGAUUUAAAUCCAAAUAUGUUUGAUGAUUUUUGUGUUUGUAGACCAAAAAAAAAUCAACCAAUAAUAUGCUAAUACAAAAAUUUACUCAACCAAUAAGAAAAAUUAGAGAUUAGUUAUGCAUUAUUAAUAUUGGCUCUCAAGAAAGAUCAUGAAAGAGUCUUUAGAUGUAUUUUUAUGUUUUGUAAUUUAUAUAUAUAUUUAAUAUUUAGUAAAAAUAUAUUUGGAUAUAUAAUUAUACAUAAUAUCAAAAUAUAAAUAUUAUAUAUAUAGAUAAUUAAAGGGUCGGGCCUAUAUCGGAUUUGAGUCUAAUAAGGCCCAAGCUCGGCUCACAUUUAAUUCGGGCUUAAUUUUUAGGCUCAAGCUCAGACCGGCUCACUAAAUGAUCGGACUUAUCGGGCUUUCUGUCGGGCCGAACGAGCCGAGCUCGAGCUGGCCCAGCCCCAUUGAGAGUCCUACUCUUCUCAGAGCUGGAGAUCAUAUGCCCCACUAUUCAGCUUGGAGCUUGGAGGUCUUUGUAAUCCAUGACCUGCUGUCCUCUAUUAAUUUCUGACUACAAAACUUGAACCCCUAAAGUCAUGGAUGAUAUCUACUCACCCAAACGAGCUAUAAUGUUUCUUGUAUUGACCGUACACCACAUGAUAGUGCUUUUUCUAGAAACAAAACAAGAACUCUUAGUAACACAUCUGGAUAAUAAAAACAUAUACCCUGGAAAAAAAAACACUAAUGGGUCAACACAUAGAGAUGAAGGUUGAAUAUUAUUUGGAAAGAAUUUUAAAAGUCUGAUAUUGUAUCAGUUUUCUCUGAUGUGAAGUAUGUAAAAUAAAAAGGUAGAUUAAAAGAUGUUUAAAAAAGAAAAAAGACUAGUAAAUGUGUUUAUGAUUUAACAUAAGAAAUGUUUUCAAAUUACUCUCAAUACAAACAUGUCGAUUUCUUCUUAUUUAAGCAAUUUUCCCCCUUCUGUUUUGGUACCAUGCAUACUGAGAGCAUAUCUAUUGGAGGAAGUCAGGAGAAACUACAGAUAGCCGACGUCAAAACAUUGUUGCAGGAGAAAGUAAGCAAUUGCUUUGGAAGUAAUCAAAGAUUUGUUUCUGAUAGCCAAAGUUUUAGUAUUUACUUUUCAAGCUAGAGACAGACGGGUUUCUCCUUUCUGGAGGAUAGGAUCAUAGGAAGUUGGGACUGGAAUUUGGGGGGACGACCUGGGCAUUAGUCUACCCAUUACUCGGAUUUGCAUCCCAAAUAUGAAGUGAUAAAGCAGCCACAUUACUGUGUUUCUUAAUCAUACGUUGACUACAGCUCAUCAUCAUCAUCAUCAUCAUCUAGUCAAUAAUACAAGAUGAAUAUUUUAAGGAUCCUUCUAUUCUCAUCUAGUGAAUAAUACAAGACUAAUAUUUUAAAGCAUCCUUCUCUUCUUUGCACCGGGGACUUAUAGAAUUAAAGAUGGUUUUCAAGUUUUUUUUUUUUUUUUUUGAAGUACAAGUGUAGUUUUGUUCUCAAAAAGGGCAUACAAUAUUACAAUAGUCGAUGAAUGGUUGGUUUGCUGGUUAGGGUUAAGAUUCUAAAAAUUAAAAGUUCUAAAUUCAAAUUUUUUUCCCCUCUCCAUUUCUUAAAUCUCACGCCUCUUUUGUGAACAAAAAUAUUUUGCAGUAGACUUGCUUUUGGUGUAUAAAGUCCUGUGCCCUAAUAGAAAUUUUAAAAAAAAAAACAACAUAUUAUUUGUCUAUUCAUUGAUUAAAUUUCAAUUUGUAGGGAGAUACUGUCUAAGGAUUCUGAUCAAGCACACAUAUACGAAAAGGAAUGCGUGUAAUCCAGACUGAGGUGGACAUUGAAGUAAAAAACCAGUGGUGCAAAGCAGUCCUUGGAGGCAAACAGCCUUCACAGCCGCACAAUCUAUGUACAUACUAAUAUUCUAAAUGCUGGAGAUGGCAACCCUCCAUCUGCCCUUGGAAUAAAAUUUGGAAUAAUGAAUAUAUCUGCGUCAAGCAAUGACGCAAUCUGCUUCAACCGUUGCUUAAAUUAAAUGUCUACACACAAUCAAUAAUUAUAAGUAAUUAAUUAAGACGCUAUGAUAUGGGUUUUUUUUGUGGUCAAUACUUAAAGAAGCGGACAUACUCUGAAUUCAUGUUCUUAAUGGAAAGCUCAAAUUCAAAUUCUUUGACUUGUCAUGUUCUUAUGUGUGUUUUUUUUCCCUUUUUGUUUUGUGCCAAUGGGUGAUUCCUUGCCAUUAUUUUAACUUUUGUCUGCACCAACCUAAUUAACGUCUUUGAUGUAUGGUUUUUAGUGUAUUAAUCUUGAAUUGUAGUUAUCAUAGUUUGGAAAAAAGGACUCCCUAUUUAAGUGGAUUGGCUUAAGAGAUAUUGCUAGAAGAUCCCACAAAAGGGAAAAAAAAUGUAUAUUUAAAUCAAAGUUUGGCAAUUAGAAAUCAUUUUUUGCAUUCUCAAAGUCAAAUGUUGGUGAUUAACUGGUAGGAUUUUCCUUUAAAUUCAAAAGAUGCUGGAAUGAACACGUCAUAUUAUCCAUUUACAUCAAUCCUAAACUAAUGUCUAGGGAAUCAAAUUUCUUUCAUUCUUUCUUUUUUUUUUUUUUUUUGAGGUAGUCUUUCCAUGUUUUAGAAAAAUAUACAUAAAAUUAGAGAAAUAAACAAAUAAUAAGAAACUAUUAUGAUUUACCCCAAAAAAAAUCAUUAUCACGACCAUAAACUUUGAGAACUUCACGUGGCAACCCACAAAACCAAUGAGCUUUGUCUGCUAGUUUUGCUUUGUUUCCUCGGAUGGACGAAGUUGAAAAUUGAACGAACAACUGGCAAAGGGCUGUGGUCAGGAGCAAUUUAUUGUUUAUCCGGAAUAUUUGGGUCAAUCUUUUACUUUUUACAAUUCUUUGUCUCUUUUGUAACUUUGGUCCAUCAUUUGGGUCAAUUCUUGGAGUUAUUGCAGCUCUAACUAAAUCAUCAUCAUAUUUGGAGUCAGACAAAGCCCCCAUUCUACUAUAAAGUCUGCGGGCUGAACCUAAGCCCGUUCAAAAAGUUUGCUAAGUACGACAGCUAUCUACACUGCAAGUAGGCGUUGAGAACAGGAGCAAAUUUGGGAGUAUCAGGAGAUUAGGUUUUAUCCAUAUUCAUUGAUUAGGUCAAGUAUUUAUUAAUCAGCAGAUUAGGUUACACAGCGAGUUUCCAUAUUUUGUGAUGGACCAAAUUAUGUGUUAGUCUGUUUCCUUUUCUUUCUUUCUUUCUUUCUUUUAACCAAAACAAAAAGAAGCCAAGAAUUGGAUACAAGUGAGAAAUCCCAAGUCAAAUAAAUCAGAAGAUCUGUUUGUGUAGCAUGGUCCUUGCUAUUUAAUAAGGUCACGGGAGUACUGCAUGUAAUGGCGUGUUAGUAAUAUCCAACAUGAUCGAGAUGUGUGAUCUAGAAUUGCAAGAGAAGAAGAGUGUUGAAAUGUCAUUCAUCCUUCUCUAGAAGAAUAAAUUUGGACCUUGAUUACUAUAUUAGUCUUGGAUAAUUUUAAAAUUGUUCUAUGUCAACCAUUUUUUUUUUUGAAUAUUAAAUUUGAAUGGGUUCGGUUCCGAUUAUCACCACCGGUAAGGACGUGUUUCCGAAAUCAUAGGUCAUUUACAGAAAUUCUUACAAAUUAUUCACCAAUACAGUCCUUACUGGAAUUCGAACACAUGAUCUUUCAUGAAAAAAUGACUUAUCAGGAAUCAUAACUCGCUUACAGAGUCCUUACAAAUCGUCUACUAAUACAGCCCUUACAUAAAUAGCGCAAUUCAGACACAUAAUUUUUUUGUGAAAAAAUGAGUUGUUAUCCUUGCCAACUUGUGUUGGCGUUCUAUGUCAACCAUACGUGCCUUUUAGCACUUUUUCGACUGAGUUAACAAUAAUAUCUGCUACUAGAACCAUACAUAACUUUAAUAGUUUAUUUUGUUUUUGAUGACUGAUAGACUACCAUAUAUAAGAUGGAAAUUUGAUGUUUAUAAACAGGUGAUCACACAAAAGCAUGGAUACUUUUGUGAAACUUUCCCGGAAAUUGAUAACCGACUUACAUGUACUAUUCAAGACAAUUAAAACCUGAACUUUUAAUAUCUAUGAACAGUUGUCUGUGAAACUCCAGCUUUAAACUUUUUUGUGUUUAAGGUUCUUCCAACGAAUUACUUCUCUCUCUAUUGCUCUACAGGCAUAUAUUCUAGAAUGCUAUACCAAAUCGUCAAACGUAAAUUCCAAAAAAGGUCUCAAGUUCUAAAACCAGCAAAACCAUGAUUUGACAUGCAUUGGUCUAAAAGGUUUGCCUGGGAGGCAGGACAUUUGGCGUAACUUACAGAGCCAUUGCAUUAAUCCAUCCAUAUCUUACCAGGUGGCAGAAGAAGAACUCACUUGCAAAACCUAUUUACCAAACAGUGCAUAUCACUUCACCUAAGCUAACUAAAAAGGCCACUUUGCAUCGUUUUCAAAUUAAGGCCAGCUAAUGUAACAUUCACGAGUCUAUUCUUGUAUAUGUGGUCUAGGUAAAUAUGCAUAACAUAAUAUGUGUAUAUAAUGCAUACAUACAUAUGGAUGUCUGAAAAUGUAAUGGCUAUGAUGCAUACGUUUGACAUCACAUAUAAGUUUGAAAAUUGGAAUGGUUUCCAUAUUCUUGUUUCUUUGUGAUCCGUAUAUAUGCACGGAAGCAUCAUUUUUAGGGGUCAAAAAACUUAAAUUUUAGUAAAUUGACAUUGGUGGGAUGUAUAUUUAUACUUUUCAAACAUUUCUUUCACUUGGAUUAAAAUGAAACUUCAUUUUCAUUUCCUAAAACCCCAUCCACACGUUGAGAAACCAACACAAUCAUAACGACGUGGUUUCACAAUCAAUUGGCGUGGCUUCAUGCAAAACCCAAGAUUUUCAUUCGAAAACAAACAUAAAACCCCUAAGAUUCUCCACUGCUAAUUAAAGUGGGCAUCAUUUUGCAUGGCCGUGGCAUUUUCAUAAACUUAAGCGCGUUGAAAAAUCUUGAAACACGUAAAUUACUUUUUUACAUGCAAAUCACUUUUGUGUGCCCCUCAACCAGCCAAGUUUUUGCCUAUAUAAAGGACCUCAUUUAGGCAUCCUUUACACAAUCAUCAUCCAAAGAUACCAAUUAAUAGUUCAUAGCAAGCAAAAAAUUGAUUUUGCAUGGAUAAGCUAGCUAUCUUUGCGCUCUUUAGUUUUCAUAUUUUUGUUGCAUCAUUUGGGGUGGCAAAGGCUGCAACAUCAUCAUCCUUUUGUAGCCAAACCCCCUAUCCAGACCUGUGCAAUUCUCUCUCAAUUAACACAAUGUCACCUCAAACUAAACUUGAUCAAACUUCCUUCAAUGUUCGUGAUGCUGCCCUUAAGUUCACUCUCUCCCAGGCUCAAUAUGUCCAAAAGCUCCUCUCAACCAUGGAUUUGAGUUCUCUCAAUCAGCUAGGCAAGUCUGCUUGGGCUGAUUGUGUAGAACUCUAUGAAGAUAGCAUUGAUAACCUCAAUCGUGCUAUUACUUCUGCCAAUCCUACCAAAUUGGAUGAUGCUCAAACAUGGUUAAGCGCUGCUAUUGCAAAUCAUCAAACCUGCCAAAAUGGCUUUCUUGAUUUCCAAUUGUCUUCGAAUUUGCAAUCCUUCCCAUUUCUUGUGAACAGCACCUUCUCAAAGCACCUUAGCAAUUCACUUGCCAUCAACAAGGCUGCUUUAUCAGCAGCUUCUGCACAUUCCAGCACUCAACAAAUCAAAGGCAGGCGAUUGCUGAGUUCUAAUGGCUUCCCAGAAUGGCUUUCUGUUGGUGAUCGUAAGCUUCUUCAAUCAUCCGGUGGACCAACAAAAGCUGAUAUCACUGUAGCCCAAGAUGGUUCUGGCAACUACAAAACCAUUGCUGAAGCUUUGGCUGCUGCUAAGGGGAAGGGUGGCAGAGUUGUUAUAUACGUUAAAAAAGGCAUUUACAAAGAAAAUGUCGUGGUAACCAUGAAGAAUAUAAUGUUCAUAGGAGAUGGAAUCGAUGCUACAGUUGUUACAGGCAACAAAAAUGUUCAAGAUGGCUCAACAACUUUUCGAUCAGCAACAUUCGGUGAGUUCAUCAUAAAGGUUUUCAUCAUUCAAGGUCCCACUGAAACUCAAAAAUAGCAAAUUUAAACAUUCAAUCAACAAAAAAUCACUACAUCAGUCAUUGUUCCACGUAGACUUCUAUUUGUCACAUUCAUUAACCUUUUCCUCUUUUCCAUUAAGAUGAUUGACAUAAAAAUCAACAUUUAAGUCACUAUUUCUUCUCCUUUUUAUUUCAUUGGAGGAUUCUUCUAAUCCUCUUCCAGUUACAAUUGAACGUUUGGAACUCAGCAAUUUGCAUAUAGCAUGAAAAGUAACUUGUCAAACAUCCAUGCACAAUAUUUUCGUCUCAACUCACGAGACAACCAACCCAAGUCAUUACGCUCUGCUGUCAAAACCCAAUAUUAACAAAUAUUUUUGUAGUCAACUUGAGCAUUAACUUAAGUUAUCUUUUGUUGCAAAUGUCAACAGCAGAGAACUUCUGCAAUUGUUCUUCAUUCAAAGAGAUAAUUGACAUCUUAUUAUAUUAUAUAUACCCUACUCUACUUUUAUCAUAAUUUUCGCACUAGCUUAUCCUUCGAGGAAAUAACUGACAUCUCAUUAUGAAACAAUAAUAUACUUAAUGUAUACACUUUCUCCUCAGCUAUUACUGGAAGUGGAUUCAUUGCUCGAGAUAUGACAUUUGAAAAUACGGCUGGACCUCAAAAACACCAAGCAGUUGCUCUGCGCUCAGGGUCAGACUUUUCAGUUUUCUAUAGAUGCAGCUUCAAAGGCUAUCAAGAUACCCUCUAUGUGUAUGCCCAACGCCAAUUCUAUCGCGAUUGCGAUGUGUAUGGAACCCAAGACUUCGUCUUUGGAGAUGCAAUAGUUGUCUUUCAAAACUGCAAUUUUAACCUAAGAAGGCCACUAGGUAAUCAAAUGAACACUCUCACAGCCCAAGCAAGAACUGAUCCUAAUGAAAAUACUGGAAUAAUUAUCCAUAACUCGCGAAUCACUGCAGCUUCAGACUUGAAAUCAGUUCAGGGUUCAAUCAAGAGUUAUCUUGGAAGGCCAUGGCAAAAGUAUUCAAGGACUGUAAUCAUGACAACUUCCAUAGAUAACGUGAUUGAUCCAGCAGGUUGGCUUCCAUGGAGUGGCAACUUUGCUCUAAGUACACUUUACUAUGCUGAGUAUAUGAACUCUGGACCUGGUGCAGCAACUGGCGGAAGGGUAAAAUGGGGGGGAUUUCAUAUUUUAACAAGUCCUGCAGAAGCUGGAAAAUUUUCUGUCGGAAACUUCUUGGCCGGAAAUUCAUGGAUUCCAGGAACUGGAGUGCCUUUCACAUCAGGCCUGUAAAAUAAACUAAAGUCACGUCUAUUCCAUUUUUUCAUUACGCUAUUACUGAAAGGUAUUGUCAUUGUCAAUUCAUCAAGAACAAGAUUACUAGACUAGCAUAUCGAUUUCAUGCAAUUGUCAAUAGUAUAAGUUUGCUCUGGUUAGCUUUGUAGAUGGUGUGCCAAAAACUCCUUGUAACAUAGAAUGAAAAUCAACAAAUAAAAUUGCAACUUUUACUUAAUUUGUUUCAUUAUCAUUGUGGAUAUAUGAUGUGCUGAAUGGGACAUAAACAAAGACUGUGCCCACAAUAACAAUAACCUAUCUGGAGAGCAACCAUAGCAUUAUAAAAGAAAGGCAACAGUUCAACCAGUAAUCAUCCAAAUUUUUGUGAGUUGACUUUAAAUCUUAAAAGCCAGCCAUGAGAAAAUUAUUAAUCUAUCAUUCGGGUCUUGCAUUUGUCUAUGCCAGUGAGCACUGGGCAUCUUAAAAGAAAGUAUUGACUUUUCUCAGUCUCCAUUUUUUUUUUCUUCUUUUACGUAAAACUGUGAUUUUCGUGAAUAGCACACUGAAUCUAAUCCAAACUAACUUUAAAAAUGCGCAGACUGACUCUAAUCCAAAAGAACUCUAUUUUAUUGUAGAGUCUCCAUUUUUUCUUGAUUCUUUGUCUUGUGACUUCUUCUACUGGCCUGGCACCAAAUAUUUUACCAUGUCAUAAAUAGACAAUUUUCUGACAAGUGAAUGAUUGAUUAUUUAUGUGCUUCUAAAUAGUUUGAUUUUAUUUAAAAUUUGUAAUAUAACUCGAAAGAUUAAACUUUUAUCCUGUGUAUUUUGGACACAUAUGGCUCUGAAUAAAGACGUUUGAUUAUUAACAAGAUUAACGGGCCGGGUUUCCAGUGAAAUAUGCCUUAGCCUGUCUUGUUAAGAGUUCAAGAAAUAUUCACUGCAUGCAUGGAAGCUCAGGAACAUUUCAAGAUGUAAUCCAGUCCCGUCAAUAUUUUGUAUUUUUUUUAAAAACACUAGUUUUCUGUAAUUUGGAAAUUAUAAUUUGUGUGGCCCUGAAUGAAUUAGUUCAACUUAAUUAGAUGCAAUUAUUUUUUAUCAUAAUUGUUCCAAAUUAAUGGGAAAAAAAAAAGCAAAAAAUAACAAAUCAAAAAGUAAAGACGAGACUCCUGGAAAGUGACUGGCGCAUGCAGCUUCUCCUCAGCAAGUUUUCGAUAAGGCAUUAGUCAAUAAACGUGUUAUGUGGAGCGACACUGUAGCUAGGAGUACCAACUGGACUUGUUCUUAUUAAGUUACGACCUGAAAGAUUUGUCAAAUAAUUACACUUUUAAUUGCCAAGGAAACAAAAGUUAUUUUACGUCUUUUUAGUAACAAAAUCAAGGCCAAGGAAACUCAUUGGCUAAAUAACUUUGACGUCAAGUAAAGGGUGAAAGGGAGAACCACAUAAUGGAGCCCAUAAAAGUCACCACACGACGUAUUUUUCCAUAUCGCAGUCUCAUCGAACAAGCAGUCAAGGUGCAGCACAUGCUAACAAACAAUGACUGCAGUUGAUUUAUAUUCAAGACAAUAUGGCACCAACGAUUGCAACUGUUAUUGUUUAAGAGAUAAUUUAUGGGUUCCCUUCUUUUUUUUUUUUCUGUUUUUUAGGUAGGAGCCGACCUCCAACUUACCGUUCCUGUCAUCUUAUCAUCAAAUCUAAUCUUAUCCUAAAUGAUUUCUAGGUUAGAUUUGUCUUAAAAUGGCAGUUCUUAAAAUUGUAUGUAGCAAAUUAUAAGGUGUAUAUAGUUUUUUAUUCAUAAGACUCGAAUAAAAGUAAUAUCUGGUGUUUAUAUUAUGAAUGAAAUUAUAUAUAAUUGUAAACAUACUCCUUUUUUUUUUCUUUUGGUCAAAAGGAUGAUUGUGUUAAUAAUGCCCAAAAUAUAUAAUACAUGGACAAAGGUCCAAUGACUGAAGGACAAAGGUACUAUGAGCUAUACAAAAGUGCAUACUAGCACUGAAGAACACAAUUGAUCAAUUCUUCAUCUUGACAAAGGCUUAAAGCGUAGAUGCCAAGAUAUGUAGCAAUAUCAUUCAUCACUGUUACGUCUUUUUCUACAUAUACGCUGUAUAAUUUGUUGGAUGUUCUUUAGAGAUAUAUUGUUCAUGCAACUCUUUCCUUUAUUUAAAUUUAUACUAGGCUCUGAUGAAACUACAUAUCUAUACUUUUUGCAUGCUGCUGUAUUUGAGAUCUCGUUUUGAAAUAAAUAUUUUGAUGAAAUUAUAUAUACAGUUAAUUAUUUUUUUCACAUGCCGAUUCACUUACACAUGUGUCUAGCUUGUGAGUCUGUCUUGAAGGAUAUGAUCUUAAUUUAUUGAUAAUAUCACCCUUUAUCUAUUUGGGCUACGGGUGAACAUAUCAUCCCUGCACCCUAAUCCGCAUUUAAUAGCAGAAUAAUUCCUUCGAACUUAACCUUGUCUUCAAGAUGACAAGCUUUAAUAGCAUUUCCAUGUAAUUAAUAAUCCAAAAUAUUAAUUAGCACAUAAAUCAUAGGUCUACAAAUUAUCAGGAAGUCAUGGUUUCAUAUAAAAAAUUAUGAAAAAGAAACAUUUAUUUCUGUUUUUUUUUAAAAAAAUGAACAGAAACAGAAUGACAAGCCUCUAUCUUCGAAUGUAAGCCAUACAUUAUUCUGACCUACUGGUCUAUUACUUAAGGUGCUAUCAAAUAGUUAAGUGCAUACUUUUUGUUAGUUAGGACAUAUUUAGCAAGUCACUUUCAUAUUUUGUCUAAACAAACUACGCCAUCCAUCGCAAAUUAAGAGAAAUAAAAGUUCAUUUCACACAUCCUCUGAAAACAUAAUAUGGAGAAAACAUAGACAAGAAAGAAUAGUCAAAUGGGAAUUAAUUCUCUUAUUAUUUCUCUAGUUUUUGUUGGACCAUCAAUUUCCUGGAAUUUUCCAGCUUUUGCAGUUUCAGAAUGUAAAAAUCCAAAUUGAAACGAGAUAAUGAGGUGAGUAAUUGUGACAACUUUGAAAGCUGAGUGGAUUAUGACUUAUAUGUAUCUAUCCUAACAAAAACGAACGAUUGUGGUGUAAGAGAAUUUGCAAAUUGUGUAUUGGAUUGGUCAUUUCUGACAAGUGAUUUCGAUGGUCAUCAUGGAAUAUUGAUUAUAAGAGAAUUGACAAAAUAUUCAGUCGUCCUCUUCCUUACACUUUCCCGUACUUCGCAUGUCCUCACACCGUCAUUUGGUGAACUCCUCCUCUUAAUUUUUAUCCUUCUAUGGAAAUGUAAAGGGAGAAAACAUAUAAGUUCAAUUUACUCUUGAACCAUCUAAGAAUUAAUCAGCAAUGGUACUAAACCUUCAACAAUCUAACUGCAAACUAAUCUGUUCCUUCCAAACUUCCAACUGUGUGAGUGAACUCUCAUCUAUUUAUAUCUUAGUUCAUUUGAUCUUGCUAUUACUUAAUUAUAUCUUAGUUCAUUUGAUCUUGCUAUUAUCUUAACAAAGAUGUAAAAGAAUAGAUUGGGAUUUAGUUAAUCAAACUUCUACAUAAUAGUUCCUUAUCUUCUCUAUAAUAAGCUAGAUUUUCCUCAAAAGUAAGACGUAAAAAAAGGUUUGCAUGAUGACUUAAUACAGACAUGCAUAAUGAAUUAUGCAUGCAAAACUAAACAUGUAUAUGCAUAAUUAUGCAUGGAUGUAUAUGUGAUAGAUGAGGCUAUGAAUGAUUUCUGGAUUUCGAGGAUAAUGGGCAGGAAAAUGAAGAUGAUAUCAUCCCUUUCUCAAAUGACAGUCCAAAAAAUUUCCACCAUUCAUUCUUGCUUGAGUCGCAAUUGAUUAGUACCUCAUUGUCGUGUAUUUCCUUAAUCCUAUUGGCUAUGCGUUUAGCUUUUUCGCUAAAAGCGCAAACUUUAUGCUUCCAUGUCUUGAUUAGAUUGAGAAAUUUGAUAAGGAGAGGUGGUUAGAAUUUGAAAGUGUGUUUCUCGUAGCUGGAAAUUGACUAAAAAUGUCAUGUCCUUGUUUUCAGACGCAAAUAUGACUGUCUCUGUUAGCAAAUGAUUAUAUGGCUUCCAUCAUUUACCAAAAAUAAAUGGAAUUAAAUGAGUAAAAACACUAGUGGCUCUCGAGUAGUGAAGAACAGUAGGAAAAAGCUAAAGUGUUACGUCAAUUAGAGUGUGUAUACUUCAAUUAGAUAAAUAUGUCUAACUGCUUUUCUUUUCAUGGAAAAGCACAAUAAUAUGGUGAUGGUGAGAUUGUGUUUGCCUUAUAGAUUUAUGUCAUUCAAAAGACAUCUUAGUGUUGUUAUAGGAAGUAAAAUCUUCUCCACAAGCGCUCUUUUAAGUUGCGCCAAAUCUUCCUUCCAUUUCUCCUUUUGAGCACACCGAUCACGUAAAAUUUCAUUACGUAGAAUUCGUGGGUUGUAGCUUAAUUUUCAUUAAAAGCAAUUCAAAAGAUUUGAUAAAGUCCUUUUUUUUCUGAUUAAUUUCUUCCGCGUAAAAAAUGGGUUGGACGAACCCAAUUUGUAGAGUAGAAUAAGGAAUAAGAGCUUGUUUGGAUUGUCAUCUUCAUCUUUUGUGGAGAAAAUUUUGAGUUUUUAAAGAAUAAGGAAUAAGAGCUUUUGGAUUGUCAUUUUUUGGGGAGAAUUUUCGAGUUCCCAAGUAAUAUUUCCACGUCACAUUUUUCAACUACCAAUUUAUUUCAUAUAUAUCCAGGAACAGGACCAAUAAUGUAAAUUUAAAAGGGAUGAAAUAUAUAUAUGUGCAUAUAAAGUUAAUGAAAUUUUUUGGAGAGUAAAUAGCUUAAACUAUAUAGGAGGAGUUUUCUAAAAUUUUCAAAAUUUUAAGGUGAGAAGAUAACCCCCUAGAUUUUGUCUUUGACUAUGCCACAUCUCAAAAAGUACAAUAGUAAUUUUGUUUGUUUUCACAAAUUCUUCUAAACUAAUGCAAUCUAAACAACCUCUAACGUAGUAAUGGUUUGACUUGUCAAACCCAGUAACAGCAAUUUUUCUCCGGUAUUUGUUUCCACUCUAACGAUGAAACCUAACUAGGUGGUCCUAACAAAAAGAAAAAUCAUCAACAUGCUUCACUCAAUUAGUACCAAUAAAAUUUAGCACUAGUAUGGUAAAAAUUAAGCUUUUUGGAUCAAGCUACAUCAAAGUUAUUUUGAUGGAUCAAGCUCAGCUAUCAAACAACCACACUCAUUCGCCUAACUACCUCGCUUAAUUAGUGGACCAAAUUUCAAUAAUUGCCUUCGAUUCAUAGCGUAAGCUCAACGGUCUUACAAGUGUGGAUCUAAAAAGAUGAAAAGGCAUGGAUCCUUAUCUAUAGGACUAAAAGAGCAAGGAAAAGAAAUGAAAAAGAUGAUAGUUACUCCAUGUAGGGAAGAAGCGUAUGAGAUCAGAGUUGCAUAAAAUGGUGUUUGGCUUUUGCUCAAUCGGGGAUAUAUACCUAUAAGAGGCAUCAAAGUCAGAUAAACACUGACUUAGCCUCUAAAGCAUGGCUGGCCUAAUUCCAGGUUAGGAGGACUGUCCUAUGGGGCUCUCGUGCUCUUUGGGGUAGCUUUUCACAGUCAUCGAGUCUCUCUUUUUCGUCUUAGUCUGAAAAGAAAUGAAUGGAAAAAGAAAGAGCCCCCCCCCCCCCCCAAAAACCCUUCCUAAACAAAAAAAAAGGAAAAAGGUAGAAGCAUCUUCUGAAUUAUUGGGUCCGUUCUGCUUUUUUACAUUGGGUCAGCUGAUGGACGAAAUGUUUUGCAGCAUUUAUCUUUCUUUCUUUUUCUUUUUUUUUUCUGCCCUGUUAAGGUUUUGUUUUGUUGUAAUUAACAUCUUCGUUGAAGGGGUUGCAAUGCGAAACUAUUCUUGUGGAUUGCAUUAAGCAGUGAUCCAAACGUCCACGUGACCACGUACGAGGACCACUUGAAAUGGAGCAAUGAGAACCGGAUUUCGACCCUGUGAAAAGUAAUGUAUGGACGAGAGAUUAGGGAAUUGACCCUUUAAUUUGUUCUCUAAUUCGUACGACAAAAGUAUGCACUUUAGUGUUUAUCCAUAUAUAAGAUGCUGCUUCCAUCGCUGAUGUGGUGUGACCAACAAGUUAUAAAUUGGAGUUCAGCUGGCCCCGACAUUGAGAUAAUUUGAGCGUUCAACAAGGAGUGAAGCAGAGCUUUCACUCCACCCAAGACAAUGGACCCCUUCAGGAUUGAUGUCAUGAUACUAUCUCAAUAGUCACUUGGACUAAUAUUUGAUCCAGAGCCAAAAGAACCGUACUGAUCGGAAGCCAGAGCCGAAAGAACCAUACUGAUUGAUGUCAUAAUACACUGUACUAUCUCAAUAGUUGGUUGGUUACCCGGGAAUGUUAAUCAUCGGUUUCCUGUAAAAUAAUAAGACUUGAUUAUUCAGAUCAUCACCCUUUGCAUUGCAUUAUUGUAUGGAGAUAGAUAAUGUCAUACUUAAUUAUGAAAAAGAAGAAUAAAGAUUGGAAUUUUUUGAUGCAUUUCAAAAUAUAUGGGUUUGUUUCGAGGGUCCCAAUUAUCUUUUCUUUGAUUCUGUGUGAUCAUGGAUGAGUGUUUUAUAUUUUUCCUGAAAUCUUGAUUUUUUUUUGUUUUUUUUUGUUUUGGGCCCCAGCUCCAUUUGUCUUCCGAACUAUUUUCUUAAAAGAAAACUCUUCAAAUCUUCGGAUUUUAUGAUAGAAAAACAGUUCUUUCUUCCCCUACCGUUUUGGAUGAUUAAAAGAGUUUACCUUUUGUCCCUUCUUUUCCAUUACCAUACCGGGAUUUUCUGAAACCAUCUCCAGGCAUGGCAGGGCAUGGCAUGACUAAAGAGUUGGGUUUACAUUCCUCCAACACCUUACCUUAUUCAUAGAGCGUUUGGUGGAGGAACAAAAAGUGCAGGCGCUUGUACUUUCCGAACUUGAUGACAAAUGCCAUGGUCUCCAGAAGGAUUCUAAUUCCAAUGGAGAAGAAUUCAAGGACAUCGCUGUCAUCAUCAAUAUGGUCGCAAAGUUUGAAAACUUUGGCUUAUACCAAACAGACAUCAUGCAAUAAUUCAUUAUGCAUACCGAUACCCUGCCUGAGUUACUUUUAAAUCUGAAGGAAUUUGACGACCGACAUUAAUUUUUCAAAUGAGUAAUAUACCGACCUUAAAAAAAAAAAAAAAAAAAAAAACAAGUAGAUUUCCUCGACCGUAUAUACAUUUUUAAAGAAAAAUCAAUGCAGAAGAUAGGGUAAAAGAACAAAUUAUAAACUACCGUAAAAGAGACGCUAGAUUAAAGGGAAUGAGGUGCCGAAAGUUACCCGACCAUCCAAAGUUUUUACGUGCAAAACUGGAAACCCAAGUCCACAGAUAUUCUCAUCAAAUAUGUCCACCAUAUUGAGGCCGCAGAAACACAAAAAUUACACAAGUCGAUAUGGAGUAUCCGUAGAGUGGAGCAUUAUUGACUCAUAACAGCAGUUAUACCAUUUAUUUGUGCUGUUAAGACAUACAAAUCUGUUAAACUGCGUAACAGCAUGUUCUUAUGUGAUGGUUGUGGGGGCAGAUCUGCCAGUGAAUGCUUCCAUCUUAGAGAGCUUAAUAGCAACUUCAACCUGAGGCGACAAAAACCAGUUUCAGAGACGAGGAGCCUGAAAUAGAUUCAUGUUAAAUAGGUAUGAAAACAUGCGCUGCAGUAUCUCACCAAAGGAGCAAGUGCUUCUUGAGAAUCUCUGCCAGUUUUUGAAGAAUCCUUCUCAUAGUGCUCAAUAUAAACACGAAUAGUAGCAACCUCUGAUCCAGUUCCAGAAAGACAGAAAACCUGAUGCAAGAGGAAGGUGCGGUGAAGAGAGAAAGACAGAUACAUCUACCGUAUGAAAUAGUCAGCAAGGCUCAUAUCCUGAUUAAUCGUUCCUUCUGUGUUCAUUGUACUCUACUUGAAACAUAAUAAGAAAUACUACCCCGUUGCAGUAAAGCAUUUAAUUAUUAGGAACAAAAUUAGACAUUUUUUUAAGCUUCAAGGGCUAGGACUUUACCAAUCGCGAACCAUCUUCAAACAGAUAUCGGAUACCCUGAUGCUUAGAGAUGGAACCAUCCACUGGAUCUUUAUACUCAAAAAACUCAUCAGCACGAACAACAUUUGAAACGUCUGAAUGUAUCCCUUUUAUUAUUCUGCAUUACAUGGACAGGCAAGGUUUUCAGAAAAAAAAAAAGAAAAAGAAAAGCUAACUCAAACCAACACAAGCAAUUGAAUAUCAUCUGGUAGAAGUUCCCUCAACACUGACAUUCAAGUUUCAAGCAUUCAUGCAAAUCAUCAGAAUGCAAGGUAUCAAACAAAAGUGCAGCUCAAGCACUUGUGCCAUAGAAACAAAUCAUUUGGGCAUGUAGUUGUACUUUAUUCUAGUUGGAGUAAAAUAUCAUCAGCGCUAAUAAAAUGAUUUUUGUUCUCUUUUUCUUUUUUUUCCCUCUUCCCACGAAAGCAAGUAAAUUUAUAUUUUAGAGAGAGGCAACAAAAUCUCCCUGUAUUAUUCCAUUUCUUAUUUUUAUUCAACUUAGAUCUAGCACAAUGAAAUCAAAGAUAUGAAAAGAUACAUAUAAAAAAAAGCAAAAAAAAAAUAGAGGGAAAGACAAAUCUUGCAUUAUGAAAAAAGUAAACAAAUAAUACUAAUAUAAGAACAAUAAGAAAAGGAAUAACAAAAUAGAAGGCUUAUUGGACUUUUCAUAGAUGUAUUGGGUUAAUAUUAAUAAUUUUUUUUUACAUAGAUAAUUUGACAUUUGAGCUACUAGUCUUACCCAGAUAAGUUCCAAAGUAUGUUAAUUUUGGACUUGAAUCAUUUUUACAAUCCCAUAUUCUAUACAAAGCCAGAAAGAGUGAAUUCUUUGAAUCAGUACCUAGUAAUUUUACUUAAUUAACUCCAUGUGUAUAAUUUGGAACCAAUGUAACUAUAACUGUCUGAAUAACAAAAUAAUUAGUUUAAUGUUUAUAGUACAGUGUAAUCUUAACACAUGAUCGGCAUUCUCCAUUAUUUUCACGGAGUCGUGCCAACAACACUAGGCACUCCAUCUUUUACUAUCCCUGCAUUUUCGUGAACUUUGUCCAUGAAUAAGAAGCUUGCAUGGUGUUGGAAAUUAAGAGUUAAAUGUCAAUGUCACUACAUUUCAUGAAAAAAAUACCAUCGAAGCUAAAACCUCCAGGAUGAGGAUUUUAUGUAAGUAAUGAAAUCGGUUUUAUGCAUGUAAAAAUACCAUAACAACACUUAGGCAUAAAUUAUAAAGCCCUCGUUUUAUUUAUGUUGCACAAAGAUUCUUAUAACAGAUGAUAGGCUGGUUACAGAAUUACUAACAUACCAAAACAGUACAACAAGAAAACACACAAUUACUUGAGUCUUUCACAUUGGACAUGCCACAAUCUUUUUCAUCAAGUUCACAUCCUUCACAACAUACGCUUACAAAUAUAGCAACUUGUAAUCAAAUUUAUGCUUCAUAUGAUCAUGAUUCGGAAAUCAUAGGCCCUUCAUUUGAGAUGGUGAGUCUCAAUAUCCUUAGUGAGUUUGGUGGCAAGGUCUGCUAUAGUUGUUGGAUCAGGGACGCUGUGAUUCAAUUUCUCGUACUGGAGGGUCCAUAUAACCAAGUGUUUUGACCAUGAUUUUCAACCUGAACAGUAAUGAUGAAGCUCUUGUACAACUUCAACAGGUCUCCUUAAUCACCUUAAAAUGUGACCGACUUCUUUUCCUUGUCUAUAGACUCAAUUAUCUCCUUCGCCACCUUCUUUUGUCCAUCUGAAAAGACGUGAACAGUGGAAUUAAUUAACCAAUAGAUUAGGUACUGGAUUUUGAAGCCGAAAGGCAUAAUUUUAAACGGCCAAAGUCUCGCCAGCGCAACUUUAAGCAACGUAGACUUGUUGAGUAUUUAAGAAUGCUUGACCAACUUAUAAAGCAAUUUAAUGCUCUUCACGACUUGCAUGUAGCAGAUAUAACAAGAAAGAUUGACAGAUUUGAACUUUGGAAGGAAAACCCCCAAAAAAAAAAAAAGUAUUAAAAUGGUAAAAGUAAAUCGAUGGAAAAAAUGGAAAGAAUCAGAAACUUACCGUGAGUAUAUGUCCAGAAGAUGAUAGAUCCUACUGUUCCCAAUCACCAUGAUGCAGCUCACAACCAUGAACGAUAUCAGGGCUUAUGGAGGACAUUUCAUGUGGUUUGUUUUUGAAGAGCUCAUGAAACAUAUCUCCAUUGGACUUAAUUUCGAUUUGGAAAACCAGUUUACCAGUUAGACUCAUUUCUUCAGAGAUCUAUUAACCAAGAAACGAAGACUGAUGAAAGCAAGGGGUUAAAAAUGGUUUAGGCAUGAAUAAUUGAACAUGAAUUUAUAUCAAUGAGAAAAAAUGCUGUUUUCUUUUCGUUUGUUUACAUGUCGCUUUCGCACUAUCUUACUUCAUAGAUCAUGCACUAGUGCAAUGUACUAUCAUUUAUUAGAUACUCUGACUAUUUUAGAAUAUAAAAUUUAUAUGGAUAUUGUUAUAGAAUUAGUCUGGGGGCUAUUUGAUUCUAUACAAGAAGUUUUGCAAUCCGUACUGUUAGUGAUGUAGAUUUUUCGCUUUAAUCCAAGUAAAACAUACAAAGGAUUCUUCUUCUUGCUUGGGAGAACAAAAAGUUCUAAAGAGAAAAAAAAAAGAGCAAAAGCCCUUUUGCCAUCCCCAGUUCGGAAGUCUUAGAGCUGCCCAUGGAGUAUGGAAAAUACUUAGAUUAGCAGUGCAGCCAUCAAAGAUCCAUAUCACCAAUUGUGACUACUUACAUGGCAACAUGGUUUGUAAAUAAGCUCAUAAAUCGUGGAUCGUUCAAGAAUUUUCCAUAAAGUAUAGAGAGCUUUGAAUAGGCGAGCAGUAAAUCCUAGCCUAUGAAAUUUGGACAGGAUAUACAGUUCAUAUGUUUAAUUGUAGCAAAUAUAUCUUUCAUAAGUACUUCAUUUAGGUUAUGUGUAUAUGGUAUGGGAACUAAAAUUGCCAUUUACACACUUUCAUGAAUUAUUUUCAACUUUGGUGACGCUCGAUUCAAUUUGUAAACGAUUUUUAUGAUCAAACAAGGUAACUUUUUGUUUCGAAGAAAUAGAUCUGCAAUCUUACUAAAAUUCUUUGGUCAUACUUAAACUGUUAAUCUAGUAUAGGGACUUUUUAAUGUAUAAUACAGGGUUCAAGAAAUUAUGAACAAAAAAAUACAAGUGAUCGAAACAAAUAAAGCACUUACAAAAAAAUAAAUUAGGGCAAAAUAUAUUUUACACCCUUAUGGUUUAGCGAUUUUUUACAUAACCCCAAUAUAGUUUCAAAAGUUAUACAUAAUCCCUUUAUACUUUAAAUUAAAGUAUCAAGAUGACGGAAUUUGCAUUCCAUAAUGGAACCAAUUAAAAUGUCAAAAGUAUUCCUAUGUAAAGUUAAAAAUUAUUUAUUAACUAUGAGGGGAUUAUAUAUAUAUUUUGAAAACCAUAAAAGGGUUAUAUGAUAAAAUAGUAAACCAUAAGGGAAUUAUAUGGUAAAAUAUAAAACCACAUAGGGUUAGAGUGUCAUGCAUAUUAUGUUUAUAUAUUUUGGUAACUUCAACCAUUUUUUUUAAUAAAGGUAAUUUUGGCAUUUUCAUGGGUUCCAUUACAAAUGAUUAUUUUUGUUAUUUUGAUACUUUAAUCAAAACUAUAAGGGGAUUAUAUAUAACUUUUGAAACUAUAGGGAGGUUAUGUGAAAAUUUGCUAAAUCAGAGGGAAAUAAAGUGUAUUUUGUCCAAUAAAUUAAGUAAAAGUUAAAUAAGUAAAAUAUUUAGAAGCCAAGGAGGCUUUUUGCCUAAUGAUUAAGAUUAAAACUCUAGAAAUUAGAAAUCUUAAAUUAAGAUCUCCCAUCUCUCCCUCACGUCUUAAUUCUCACCCCUCCCCAGAUAAAAAAAAAUUAAAAAAAUAAAAUGUCAUUCCAUGGAAGUAAUUUGUUUGGAGCUCAUUCUUCCCAUGAUAGAGUUGAGCUUGUGAAUCAGUGAUGCAUUACAUCUCUACACUCCCCAACACCUUAUUGUUUAUCUAUAACAGUCAUGAGUCUUUAUCUAGAGACAGCAGGAAGAAAGACAAGUUAGAAGAUUUGCCAAAAUGAAUAUUAAACCUUGUAAUAUUCAGCAAGGGGUGCAAAAUAUUCAGAGAUGCAUGAUUGACAAUACAUAACUUGUAAAUGCAGAAUUCCAUUAAGCAAAUAUUAUCAGUAAACUCAUAAUUAAGCAAAUAAAGUAACAAUGUGUCCACCAUCCUCAGAUCUUUCUGGGCCACAAUAUAAUCGCCCCUCGAAUAUGAUAGAUUACGAGUUAUUAAUUAUUCUUAAACUGUUUAUGAGUAUAAUAUUCUCGUAGAAGUUACUGUGCAUUAGGAUAUAAUUAUCCACUCAAUUCACUGUCAAUUGAAUUUUCUGCUUUCCAAUUGAUUACAGAAUUUACAUAUACAAAUCACAAAUAAUUUUUAUAAGUUUGUAGCGAUAAACACUAAGGUGCCUCGAUGAUAUGGCCACUCUUUGGAAGGAUCAUCUCCAAGAUAGGAGAGUACAGUCUUAUUGCCAUUGACUAGUCAUGAUCACCAAGAUGAACAAUACAUGGGCUCUUAUUUAAUUGAUAAGAUCCAACAGCUUUAUAUGUCUGCCCUUCAAAUUAAUUAAUGUACCCAAACAAUUAAAUGGUAGUUGCUAGGCAUACAUUUGUGGCUAGUAUACAUGGCAAUGGGUUGGCUGAAAAUCUGUGAUAUAUAUAUAUAUAUAUAUAUUCCAAUUACAAUUUGUUGAUACAUGCCUGCACAAGUUUAAAAAAUGAAAAAAAAUAUAUAUAUAUUUUUUGUGUAGGAGACCAAAAUCAAGACACAUAAAUAAAUUAAAAAAAAUGACUUUCAAGGAACAAAACUCUUUUCCUAAUGCAUGACACCUGAUAGAAAAUGACUUAUGUAUUUGUGCUGAUUGUCCAAGGAAAAAAUAAAACUAGGUAAGAGAGGGGCAAGACAAGGAAAAAUUUCAUGAUAUACCAAUACUUCUGCUAAUCGGCACAGCAGGGCAAGGAUCUUAAGAAUGAAUAUAUGAAUUCAAAUUCAAUUAUUCAAAAAAAAUAAAUAAAUGCAAGACUAAAUCGAAAUGAGACCUCAUAGUGUAAUAAUAUCUGUCAGGCCCUGAUUCUCAAUAUCUGUCUCUUCAAUUUACUCUGCAAACUUAUUUAAUCACAUUCUUAUGAAUAAGUACUCCAAACAGUGGACUGACCUUUGAAUCAAAAGGUAACUGAUAAAGAAUGCUAUGAAUCGAUCAAUAAAUCAACAUAUAACUAAUUUAUUGAAUUAGAGGAAACAAAGUUUUCCAAGCCAUCACAAUCGAUGUCCGCCAAUAAUUCAGCAGACAAUCUGCCAGCAGAAAUUUAUGAAUCGAUCAUACCAAAAUUAUCACUCAACUUAUUUCGUGCCCAUUUGACUAAACAUUGUAUAGACAAAAAAAAAAAUCCAUGGCCCGCAAUUUUAUUUGAUAUAUUCACAAUGUCAUUUUUCCCCUCUUUUACUGGCUUUGGGCUUCCUUUUUUAUAUAUUUUCUUGACAACAACUCUUAUCACACGUAUCAUGGCAUUUUUAUUGAGCUUGACGUCAAAUAAAUAUUCAUCAUAUCCUUUCAUUGGAUGCGACGGCAGAGAAAUUGACUCUAUAUUAUUACUUCGUGCUUGAAGACGGUAAAAUAAUAAGAUUUAGAUAAGCACAAAAAAAAAAAAGGAGAAGUUGGUCUACUACUAAACUUUGAAAUUAUCAUUCAUCUCUUGAAUUGUAACACUUUCACAAUAAAAGUUUUUAUCCUUUUGGACAAAGAAUAAUGCCACACCAACUUCUUAUCUGUUGCACUUAAGGCGCUAAAUAGACGAACCCAAAAAAUAAAUGCUAAAUGAACGUAUUUUCUAGCUAUCUAUAUCUAUCUCCAUGUUAUUAUGAUAUCCAACAAUUUGCAAUUGUGAGGUUAGCUACAGCCUGUGGUGCGUAUUUUUUUGGCACAAUUGGUGGUUUCCUUUAUUGUCACUAGUCAUAAUAGAAAAAACAACUCACUCAUGUUUGGAUAUAUUAUUACUUGAAAAAAAAAAAUUAUACUUGUAUCAGAAGCACAUUUUUUCAUUUUAUUUUUAUCUUUCGAAUUUUUUCUUUAUUUCACAAACUUUACAUACAUUGUUAUUAAAUUCAGCCCAUAUAUCAACCCAAUUCAGUAACUAGUUCAAUGGGAUAUUGGUUCAACCCAGGAUUCACUGAUUGACUCGAUGGUUGUAUUAUAUAAUAAAAUAAUGUAUUUGGAUUAUUAAAAAUAAUAUAAUCAUUUAACAAGUUGUUGAACCGCCAAUUUUUUGAGAUUUUACGAAUUGAAUUGAUAAACCAUUGACUAGUUAAUUGAUCUAACUACUUACCUAGCCCGAUUAGGUAGCUAGUUCACCAAGUUGUCUAGUUGAACCUAGGGGUGUAAUCAAACCAACUCGCGAGCAGCUCGGUCAAAAAUUUGACUUGAACUCGGGUUGACCGAGUUCGAGUCUAAUUCGAGCGCCUCUAUAAAGCAAACGAGUCGAGUUCGAGUAUUCAGAAGCAACGCUCGAGAGCUAGUCGAGUCUUAUCGAGUUUUUUAAUUUUAAUUCUUUAAUAUAUUAUUAUUAUAAAAUUACUCUUAUAUCCAAAAUAGUUAUUGAAUUUACGAAAUGUUUCAAGUCGUAUAAAAAUUUUAAAAGAGCAAUAAUGUCUUUUCACUAAAAAAUUAUCAAGAAAAUGAAAUUUUGUAGCUCGAUAAGGCUCAAAUUGACUUGAACCCAUGCGAGUCGAGCUCGAGUUCUACGAGCAAGUUUCGAACUCGAGUUCGAGUUCCAAUAAUACUACUCGCUCGAGAGUCGAGAUCGAGUAUGGCACUCGAUUACAUCCCUAGUUGAACUGUCAAAUUGUGUCAUGAUUAUAUCAUAAAAUGUACUAUAACAAUUAUUUCAAAUAAUAUUUCGAAUAAUGCCUUCAUCAAAUCUCCAAACAGUGACUUUCGACUGACUUUCGAGCCCAUUGUUGUUGAAGCAUACAAUUCGUUGUAGGAACUAUCCCAAAAAACAAAAAGAAGGUUGGAACUAUUAAUUCAGGGAGGAUAAAUCAAACAAAAACAAAAGUAUAGAUUUGGUCCACGUAGGCAAGAUUAGAUAUGACUGGUAAUUGCUACAGCUACCGAAACAUCAAUAGAUAGCAACAUUUCAAGAUUUGAUAGUACAAUCCUAUCAAUUGAUUACGAGGACCGUCGAUUGAUAGUAAAUUUUUCCGUCAUUUUUGUAACAUGAUAAAAAUUUUCUACACAGUAUACAGUAAAAGAAAAACGCCAAUCUAUGAGUGAAGACUACUCGUGAAAUAUGUAGUACAAGAAUUUGAAGUUUUCUACUUUUAUCUGUCGGAUUUUUGCUUUUUACUUUGGUGCAUUUGAAUUGUAUGUUAAUGCAGGGUCAGUUAGCUAGCCAUGAAGAACAUAUAAUAGCACUAUAUGUAUAUAAGGUAUUUGGAUCCUACUUCUGAUGUAAGGGCCAAAUUGGUGAGUAAUAUCUAAGUACCGUGUAACUGAUUUAUAGUUUCAAGAGCAUAUUCUAACUUUCGAUAAUGAUCGGAGUCGAAACUAUCCAAACUUUAUUCUUACAAAAAACGAAACAUAAGAGGAAAAUAUUUUUCACGGAAAACCUGACUUCUUUUUGUAACGAGCUUUGUAACGAAGAACUCAUUGUUCUAUAUGGCGAAGUAUCCAUUACGGCACUGUAUUAUGCACCACAACCUAAUUUAUGAUGUGCUUCUGCUUCUCAUGCUCUUGGUCUAAUUCUAUUUUUUCUUCACGAGAUAAGAAAAACAAUUCCCAACGUAGACAUGAAAUAAAGUUAAAUUGAAAUGAGUUACUAAUAUGUUUGGUUACAAUCUUUUAAUAUUGAAUCGAUUUCACACAUCCGGGUAUCUAAGUUUAACUUAUUUUAUGUUGUUUUAACAUUGUCUGAUUUAGAUGCACGAUUGUAAUGGAGGAAUUGAGAGUUAAAAAAAAAAAAAAUGGUUUCACUUACUGAGGGGCUGCUUGGUUAAAGGGUUUGGGAAUCAAAUAAUGGAAUGAACCCCUUAUUUGUUGCUUGGGUUAAGUCUAUUGGAAUGCAAUUUCUGGAAUCAUUUCUAAAAAAUCGGACUUUCACCAUUCCUGAGUAAAUUGGGAGGUUUUGGACAAAACCCUCAACUCAUUCCCGAGCAAAAACAUUUAUGACGAACCUACCCUCUUUUUUUCUUCAUUACACGCCGCAUCUUCUGUUCUUCUUCUUCAUCAGAUUUUCUACCUCUUCUACUUCACCGGUUGGACAACCAUAAAGAUCAGUGGCUUUCGACUCUCCUUGGACAACGAAUUCUAGAGUUGAAGAGUCUUCUACUAGGGUGAAUUCCUUGAUCCCAGGUUAGUGGAUUACAAACUCCCUUGCCUCUGCAAUUUUCUUUUCGUAUGCAAGCUUUUCUCUUUCUUCUUCUCUGUUUUUUCAGGCUACUCACUGGGUAGCUGAAAAUAAAGAAGAAAAGAAGGGAAUCUGAUACAAUAAAACUAACUAGACCAAAAUUGGUUGUAAUACAUGUAUUUUAAUUCACUUACUUCAACAAAUACAUUAUUUUGUUCUUUUUUUUGGUGAGAUAAAUGUUAAUGUCACUAGAUUUGUCAUUUUUAUGUUUUAAUGUGUUUUCUUGGAUUACGCAUUCAAUGGAGGUCAAUCAAUUCUUGAUCUUUUGGUUAUUUGAUCCGUGAAUACUGGUAUAGUUUGGGUGGGUUUCUACAUGCCCUGUACCUGUUUGUAAAAUUGUCUGCUUGAAUAGCUUUCAGUUUCAUAGUUAUUCGUACAUUAGGAUUUCAAGUUUCAACCAUCAAUUUCGUUUGUUUAUGCUUAUUUAUAUCUAUACAUCAUUGUGUUUACGGAUGUAUGAUGCAUGUCUAGGCCCUUUUAAUAAGAUCAAUUGAUGUUUAAUGCAUUUGAAGAUUUUGAUGCCGUAAUCUAGUUUGGUGAAUACUUACGUUUGGUUGUCAUAUUGUUAUGUAGACAAAGAUGCCACGUUUGCCUAUUGAAAACAGAAGACGCAAAAAAUAUCGAGGGCAAAGCCAGAUUUUAUCAGGAAUGAUAAUGGUUGUUAUUGCACUGUUUAUGAUGUGGUACCAGUUAAUAUUCAUACAUCUCAAAAGUAGAAGACGCCAAAUAAAAUCAAAAGAAGAAAAAGUCACUGAGCGCAUGCAACACUUAUUCAAUUUGACUAGGGAGAGUGAUGCUUAUUGUAUUAGCGAACUUCGUAUGGAUAGACGAACAUUUGGGAUAUUAUGUGAAAUGAUUAGAGACACUGGAGGUUUGAAAGCUACAAGAAACAUGUCAAUAGAAGAAAUUGUUGCCAUGUUUGUAUAUGUUUUGGCUCACCACAAGAAAAGUAGAACAAUUUGUGGUCUAUUUUGGAGAAGUAGAGAAACGGUGAGUCGUCAAUUUAAUCUUUGCCUCCUAGCAGUUUUGAAAUUGCAUACUAUAUUACUUAAGAAGCCUGAGCCUAUUACCGAAGAUUGCACAGAUGAGAGAUGGAAAUGUUUUAAGGUAAUUCAAAUAUUAAAAUACAAUCAUUUAAUAAAAUGUAUGUUUUCAUCUAAACUAUCCAAUAUAGACAUUUUAACUCAUUUAUAUUUUUUAUUUUUGUUAAAAUAGAAUUGUUUAGGUGCCUUAGAUGGGACAUUAAUAGAUGUGACACCACCCACCGAACAAAAAUCAAGAUACCGAACGAGAAAAGGAAGUAUUGCAACGAAUGUAUUAGGGGUUUGUUCUCCUAAUAUGCAAUUUAUCUAUGUCUUGCCUGGUUGGGAAGGUUCGGCACAUGAUGGUCGUGUGCUUCGAAAUGCUAUCUCUAGACCAAAUGGUCUUAGAGUCCCACAAGGUAAACAUAUAUUGCAGUAUUCAAUACCAUUCAAUCAAUUUUUUUUCGAAAAUAAGGUAGUCUAGUAUUAAUUUGUACAUGAUUGAAUUUUGAAGGUUGUUAUUACUUGGUGGAUGCUGGAUAUUGUAAUGCUGAUGGAUUUCUUGCCCCUUAUCGAGGGCAAAGAUAUCACCUUAAUGAAUUCAAUGGUUAUCGACCACAAAGACCAGAGGAAUAUUUCAACAUGAAACAUUCUAAAGCUAGAAAUAUCAUAGAAAGAUGUUUUGGAUUGCUAAAAGGAAGGUGGAAGAUUCUAGCAUCCCCUUCAUUUUUUCCAAUUCAAACACAAGUGCGAAUAAUUAUGGCAUGUUGUCUGCUGCACAACUUGAUAAGGAAGUUCAUGACUUUUGAUCCACAAGAAUUACUACAAAGUGAAGAAAAUGAAAGUGAAGAUGAAGACAGUGAUGAAGAAGUAGAGUGCAUAUCCACUAUUUUGCCAAGUGAUCAAUGGGCAAAUUUUAGAAAUAAUUUAGCACAUGAAAUGUUUGACAAUUGGAGGGCUGGACUUAGUAUUUAGCUAUGAAUGGAUGUUUAGCUCUUAGACUCAUUAAAUUUGGAUUGACAUUUGAUGUACUCUUGUAGUGGAUUUGUGAAUUAGAUUGACACUUGAUGUAUGUUCUUUUAAAUUUGGAUUGACUUUUAAUUGUAUGUUCUUUUAUGUGUUUUGUUAUAUUAUAAAUUUCAGUUAUAUGCUAUUGUGUAUCAAAAUUAAUUGAUAUAUAUGGGUUGACUUCUAAAUGAUAGGAUGGAGAAUGAUGAAAUUGUACGUGGAAGAGGGAAAAAUAAAUGUUUUUGGACUGGUGAAGAGGUAAAAGUGCUCAUAGAAUCAUUGCAAGAGUUGGCUUGUGAUCCAAUGUGGAAAUCAGAUGGAGGAUUUAAAAAUAAUUAUAUGAGCGAAUUGCUUAAAAUUAUCUUGCGUAAGCAACCUACUUUUACCAAACAAGUCAGCCCACAUAUUGAAUCAAAAGUUAAGUGGCUGAAAAAUAGGUUCCAUGCAAUUGUUGAAAUGUGCAAAGAAAGUGGUUGUAGUUGGAAUGAUGCUGAGAAAAAGAUUUCUUGUGAAAAACAGUGGUAUGAUGAUUGGUGCAAGGUAAGAAAUUGAUUACUUUUUACAUUCUGAUAUGUUCUUUUUCAACCUUUUAUUAAGAUUAUCAUUUAUCUUUCUAUUCUAUCUCUAGACUCAUAAGGAUGCGAAGGGCCUUUGGGAUGUCAAAUUUCCAUAUUUAGGAGAUCUUGAAAUUGUAUAUGGAAGAGACAGAGCCACUGGAAAUGUUGCUGAAGAUUUUGCACAAGCUGUCCAAGAUAUGGAAGAUGUCCAAAAUUUGGAGGAAGGACAUGAAGGGCUUGAUGCUAUGUCAAACUCGGAUAAUGAUAAGGUAGAAGAAGAUGAAGUAAAUUCCAUGAGCAAUCAACUCAACCAAGCUCAACAAGUACAAGAAAUUCCAAGAAACAAAAGAAACAAUCCCCUCCCAUUGCAAAUGUGUCAAAAAAAAUGAAAUCUGCAUCAACAACAAGGGGUGAUCUUGAUGCAUCAUUGCAACUUCUCACCAGCAAAUUUGGAGAUUUCGUGGAGGGAAUUCAAGCUAAUUUCACAACUAUGGCAGCAGCCAUGUCAAAUGAGGAUAAACGUGAGCAAUUGGUCUCCGAUAGAAGAGAUCAAGUUGUUGCUGAGUUAAUGAAACUUGCUUUACCGAGUGGAGAUGUAAUGAAUGCAGCCGACAUACUUUCGGAGCAGAUUUCCAAGCUUCAUGUGUUCUACAAUCUUCCUGCAGAAAUGAAACGACAAUAUGUAAUUAACCUCCUUUAUCCUCCAUCUACUCGCUGAAGUAAAAUUAUUGUUAGCUGGAAAGUGAUGAUUUGAUGGCAAUUUCUUUUUGUUAUGGUGAUUGUUAGAUGGUUAUAUGAUUAGUCUUUUGGAGAUUGUGGACAUUGAGUGGCACUCUCGACUGGAUUAGACAAUUGACUUGUAUUUGGUAUGGUUAGCUUUUGUGAUUUGAGUCUCCUUCUUUUGUUCAUAUAUGUAAGGAGAGAUCUAUUUCAUAUCAUUAUCUAAUAGGAACCACAAAUGACUUGUUAAUGGAGUAAAUUUCCAAAAAGAAAGAGUUUUUAAACUAACUUCCUAAAGGCUGGCAAUUUUUAGUCUCUUCCCAAGGGUGAAAAACACAUUCAAGAAAUGCGUUCUUCCAAAUAAAAAUGCAACUUUCAAAUACGUUAUUUUAAUUUUCGUAAAUUUGUUUAAAUAUAAAAAUUGGUUAAAUAGCGUAUUAAAUACAAAACCUGCUAAUUUCCUAUAAAGAGCUGUAUCUUAUAAGUAAUUUCUUUUUUUUUUAACUUUCACAUAUUUAAUUUAUGUUAAAUACAAAACAUACUAGUUUCCUUUGGCCUAUUUAAUCAAUUUUUCCAUAAAGAAUUGGUAUGUUUUCCAUAAAGAGUUGGUACAAAACAUACUACAAAACCUUCAGUUUCCUUUAAAGAGGUAUCUUAUGGGCAAUUUUGUUUUUUUAACUUUCACAUAUUUAAUUUAUGUUAAAUACAAAACAUACUAGUUUCCUUUGGCACUAUUUAAUCAAUUUUUUCCAUAAACCUGGUACAAAACCUGCCAGUUUCCAUAAAAGCUGGUAUCUUAUGGCUAUUUAACCAAUUUUCAUAUUUAAAUAAAUUUCCAAAACAUAAAAUAGCGUAUUUGAAAGUUGCGUUUUUAUUUGAAGAACACAUUCCUUGGAUGCAUUUUCACCCUUUGGGAAGAGACUAAAAAAUCGUCACCUUUUGGGUGAUUGUUUAAAAACUCCUUUUUUUGGGAAUUUACUCCUUGUUAAUGCAGCCACUAUAUUUAUUUUCUGGUAUUAAUUUUUUAUUAUUUAUGAUUUUCUUAUGUUUUAUCAAAAGUUAAUAACUAUUGUAGUUACAAUUAUGAAAUGUUAAUUUGUCGUAUGUGUAAUUCUUUUGUUUUAGAAGAAUUGUUAUAUCAGGGGUAAAUUUGGAAUUUAAUUGCAUUUAAUUCCGAAACACUCAUCAAACCAAGCAUCAGGAAUUGGAAUAAUGCUAAUUCCAAUGUGUGAACCAAGCAAGAUAUCGGAAUGAAAAGUUUUAAUUCCAAAACCAGAGUCUAUGAUUCCAAUUACAAUUCCAAUUCCUAAACUUGAACCAAGCACCCCUGAGUUUCUCUUCAGCUACUGGAUUAGUACCCAAAAAAAAAAAAAUUCAUUAUGGGCUUUUGGUUUUAUAAUUCGCCAUUGCAGUAUGUACCUGAAAUUAUGCACCUUCCCAAAAAGUCCAAAUCCUUCACUCUCAUGGGCUUUACCUGGGAUUGUUCUAAAUUUUUUUAACUUCCUUAUGUGGAUGCUGAACAAGUAGUAAAGUACAAAUGAAGCAUCUUAAGACCAUAGAGGUAUGGCCGUUAACAAAAGAAAUUCGAAGGAACAUAUCAUUUUGGGUAUGAAAUAGGGUUUACAUGAGUCUACUUAAACUAAACAUGUUAAUGUUCAAAUUUGAUUGAUUAGUUUAUUUGCCAUACCGAACUCAAAUAAGCUUUUAUCAUACUGAGAUUGAGUAUCUUGAAUUUUUACAUGUAAAUUUUAAGUUUUACACCAAUUGAGUUAGAUUCCAAUUGAAGUCGAAACUUUUCUGAGCAAAAAUAUGAUUCAUAUUUGGCUUGAUUAGUUGGUUACUUAAAUUCAAAUGAGUUUUUACAGUGCCAAAUUUGAUUGGAAUACUAAGUAGGUAAUUGUGGAUGAUGCAAUGCUUGGAAUAAUACUUGACCCUAUUUGAAAACCUAGGCCCUAUUUGACAACUCAAAUCAGCACUUAAAAUUAAUAGAUUCAGAUUUUAAUAUAUUCAGAUGCAUUUAAUAACAAAAAAUAGAACUUUUGAAUUAAUUAAAUGACACUAAAUUUUUUGGGUAAAACUUGUUCUGAAAAAAUAAGUAAUAAGCUAUUGGGUUAUCAUUUAAUGUGAUAUAUACUUAAAUUUAUCAAAUUUAGUAUUUAGCAGUUCAGUAAUUUAAUAGAUUUAGAUUUCAAAGUUUAGAUUUUAGUUUCAAAUUUUAGUUUUAUUAAACACGCCCUUAGGAAGCAUUUCUAUAAAUAUUAACUUUCCCUUUAUUAAAAGGGAAGGUAAUUGUGUAAUUCACAAGUUGGCAAACUUUAGCUUCAAACUUGUGAAACUUUGUGGAAGGCGUCCUUCCGUCCUUUGAUUAGUUGGAUUAGCCAAAGAUGAUAUAGGAGCUGUUGCUCCAAUUAUGUAACUACUUUUUCCAAUGGCAAUACAUUUCAGUUGUCAUUUGCAAAAAAAAAAAAAAAAAAUCUUUCAGCUCUAAUUGAGAGAGAAAUAAAGUUUUAUAGGAUUUUACUCAUUAAAACAAUUAUCGAUAAAUGGAACGCUGAACUUUGAAGCUCGAUGUUUAUACAGAAUGAACAAUCAUGGUUAAACAAUUCACAAAUGUUUGAUAGGUAUCAACAUGAACAGUUGCGAUGGAGGUCUUAUAUAACUCCAGCACAUCUCCUUCAAUUACCUUAAAACUGUACUAACUUCUUUUCCUCAUCUAGCUCCGCAAUUAUCUCUCCUUUGCAUAUCUGUUUUCCAUCUGUAAAACAAACAACAAUCCGGUAAAUGAAGCGAAAGAGUAUAAAGUCACAUAUAAAUCAAUUAGCAUAUAUAGAGAGCAAGACCCCGGGUGUGUGUUUGCGCGUGUGUUUGGUAUUUUUAACAUAUGAUUACAAGUAACGAUGAUAUAACCACUAGAGUCAGCUCAGAGGUUAAUGAAGAAGAGCUCUUAGAGUUUUCACCGCUGUCAGGUUCAAAUUCACAAAUAUUGGGAUAAAAACUAGUAUCUGACAACAUAAUUUGUCUCUUGGAUGGGUAAAAUAUAUAACUACAUCUUUCUAACUGUACUGAUCCUUGCCUUAGCUACAGUCGCGAAGCCACACUAUGCUGAGGGGGGAUAUAUAAUUGGCCCCCCUCAACUUUACAAAAUUAAAAAAAAAUAGUUUUGAAACUAUUAAAAAUAUUUAUAUUUUUAUCAUAAAAGCACCUCCUCAAUUGUGAAAGGUACACGUUUUCCUCUACAUUGUCUCCCUAUAUUAUGAGAAAUUUUCAUUCUCCUCACAUUAAUUAUCUUCCUUAAACAACCAAUUUUUAAGACGUACUUCCUAUAAUACAAAUGUUUUAAAGCUAUUAAAACACAAAAUUGUUAAGGACUUGAAUAAGAAAUAAAUUCACAACAGAAAAAACUCACAAUAAAAAUAUUAUCUUUAAUUAAAUUUCUCUUUACAUAAUAAUGACAUUAUCUUAGGUGUAUAAUAUUACCCCACUGGCUUUAGGUCCUAGCUCCGCCAAAAAUUGGCCAUAUCUUUUAAAGGGGAUAACAACAUUCCUAGUCAUUUCCUCACUUCUGAUACUAAAACAUAGAUAAAAUACAGUAAAUUUUGGAAGAAAAUACCAAUGGAAAUAAUGACGAAAUUAAAUCCAAAUUUUUACCGUGGGUAUAGUUCCACACUUGCAUGGCUCCUACAGUUCCCCAAUCACCAUCAUGCAAUUCAACACCUUGAACAAUUGACGGGCUCAUAUCGGAUAUAUGAUGUGGUUUGUCUCUAAAGAUCUCAUGAAACACAUCUCCAUUCAACUUUAUCUCGGUUUGAGAAACCUGCUAAUUACCAGUUAAACUCAUCUCUUCUUAGUUCUGUUAAUUAACAAGAAAGGCAGAUGAAAGCAAAUACUAUCAUUGAAAAGACUACAGGGAUAUAUAGAGUCAAUUGUCAGGGAUACCAUUUUAAAAAAAAAAAAAAACAAAGAAAGAAACGUGAUUGUGCAGAAAUACAAGUUGGGCACUUUUAAAAGGUCACAAUUUCCAAAUUUGCACGCAAAAAGAAUUUUAACUUUAUCAAGGUUGGUGAUGCAUCCCUCUCGAUUUUAACUUUUCAAAACAUGGAAACUAUAAUAUCUGAAACCUUAAUUUAAAGAUAAACCAUUGAUGAUGAUUGGUAUUAUCAGGCAGACAAGGGACAUAUUCAAGAAGUUGUACAAUCACACACAAUUUUAGCUACAAGAUGUAGCCGACCUCUAAUGUAUUUGUACAUCUUGCUAGUUAGCAUAGUGAACAUUGUCAGACAUUCAAAAUUGUGUUGGCUGAGCAAAUGUUAGCACAAAAUUGAAACAUUAUUUUACGUAGCACUAUUAAUAGAUCUUUUAUUGGCAUUGAGCUAUUACGCAGUUUGAGUCACAUUUUGUACAAGCACUUAAUUAUAACUGAAUGUGUGAAAUUGACAUUCAAUACAAACUUUUGUCUUAUAUUGAAUUUGAAUUCUUUAACAUGCAAUUAAUACAAAAUUUCAAAUUUAACUGAAUUCAAUUUCUCGUAAAUCAUAUUUAGUAUAAAAUCCUAAUUUUAACUCAAAGUGACAUUCAGUAUAAGCUCUUAAUUUUAUUUGAAUUUGAUUUUUCAAAUGUCACUUUCAAAACAAACUAUUAAUUUUAAGUAAAUGAGAUUUCCUUAUAGUCAGAUGCUGUACAAACUCAUAAUCUUAGCUGAAUUUGAUCGUUAAUUUGUCGAAACUUGAAGUAACGCAUUUGAUAUAUGUAACAUAUUUGUGCAUUUGAUAUUUGAUCAAUGUUUCAAAGCAGACUUGAGUAACAUAUAUAUUUGGAGACGUACUGAUUUAUAAGUCAAUAUUCCUAGCUAGUCAAUCCAUUUUCAGGAUCUUAAUCUUUUUUUUUUUUUUUUUUUUGUGUUUGCUGAUUCUGUUUAGUUCAGCUAAUCUUACUUGAAAGCCAAGGCACAUUGAAGAAAGAAGAAAGAAAGAAAAUUAUACACAAAUAUUACAGCACAAAAACAUUUUAGGCAUCAAGCCAUCAUUUUAUUUAUAAAUAUUCAUUGUAAUUAGUAUAUCAAACACACAAUCACAGCCACAACAAAUUUAAUAAAGCUCUCUCACCAAGCUUAUAACAUGACAUACAUAACCUUAACAAGCUUUUGUUUCAUACUCACACCAUUCUAUCUCUUAUUAUUAUUCAACUACUGAAAUAACCAUGCAUGUUCAUGCCUUGACAAGUGAAGCAUCCACGUCUUUUCCAGCAUGAAUCAGCCAGUGGAGGUACUUAGUUGGAGCAGGCUCAUUCUCAUUGAUAUUCUCAUACUCAAUUGUCCAUUUGGCAUAGUUGGACUGGCCUUUUGGAAUAACUUGUAAGCUAGCCUUGUAGCUCUUUAAUUGUUCCAAAAUGUGUCCUCCAACUGCUUCUGCAGUGACAGUCUUGUUCUCUUCAUCCACCGUAAGCCUUUCUUUCAGAGUCUCAACUUUUCCAUCUGGGCAGUAAAAUAUUUAUCAAAUUAAUCCAUUAUUAUAGGGAUAUUCUACCAAAUUGGUGGCAGAAAAACAUGAAGUUAUGAUGCAUAUCAUCUUGAAAUUCCCAGGAAAAUCACCAUAAUAUCAAACUGUUCUACAGUAAAUUUUAAAAAAAAAAAAUCAUGCAACUCUAAUUUGUAACUAUCAAUCUUACAGAGUAUAGAGUUGGUUUUUGUUACCUAUUGCAUAAGUCCAGAGCUUGACAGAGCCCUUAGUUUUCCAGUCACCUUGAUGAACCUUAACACCAUGAACUUUGUCGGAGCAAAGAUUUGGAAGUUUGUGUGCUUUACCACCAAAGCUCUGGAAGAACUCAUCAGGAUCAGACUUAAUCUUUAUCUCAGCUUCUAACUUUCCAGCUAGAAUUGGACUAGCCAUAAUUGGUUGUAGUAAUGCUGAAAAAUCGCUGUGCACCUUUUCCUAGUAAAUGCUCUACCAACUAAACUGGCUGAACCAUGAUUUAUAGAAUCAAAUUUUCAUUUCACAGUAGCUUUUAGAUUAUUACGUAGAUUAAGUCAACAUUUUGUGCGAAACUGUUUAGCAUAGAUGGUUAAUUGAGUGAAUGCAAAACUUUUUGAUGACAAAGCAUGUUCUAUUUGCAGUAACAAACUUGAUAGUUUUAUUAGAGAGGUAAAAAAUGUCAUACCAUUUAUUCACGUGGUAAGUAGACGAAAAAAGGAUUUUUUUUUUCCAAACUUUAUAAUGUUUUUGGGAUGAUUGAAAAGGGAAAUCAGAGUAUGUUGACAAAUUGUUUUUUUUUUUCCUUUUUUAAUAGGUAGUCACGCGUAUUGUUACAAGAAUGGAAAUGAAAAAAAAUUAUUUUGGCCCUUCAAAUCAAGAAAUUGUACAUUUGUCCGCUUCAUGAAUGGUGAAGCACAUCAGAAAGUCAUCUUUUUUUUUAUUCUUUUUUCUUUCUUUGUUCGAUACUCAACAACACCAUGGAUACGCUCAGCAAAAGUCGCAAACGCCAAAAUCUUGAUGAAAGCAGCUCUUCAGCCAUCAUCAUGUUGAAAAUACUGCAAAACAGUAGUGAAGGGCAUUGCAUUCAUGUAUCAAUAAGGCUACUUCUAAGACAAGAGAAAAGGAUUUGAAUAUUUUCUUUUUAGCUGCACCAAUCUAAUUGUUUGCUAAUUUUGGGCAAUUGACUAGGAUGAUCUUCUCAUCUGCAUUAUCUGCAUUUGAUAAUUGAUAUAGGUAAUUAUCUGCCAACGAAUAAAACAAUUACACGGUUUAAAAAGGGAACCUAAUUGGUACAAAUUGAGAUAGUUACGUUGACAACUACAUUGUGGCAUUGGAGAGAGGGUUGAAUUAGAUGAUAAGUUAAGAGAGAUUGUAAGUAAGAGGUUUAGGGUUAAAGACCUCCCACUUACAAGCCAAAAAAAAAAGCUUCAAGGUGGCAUAAAGUGACUAAAAUGAAAGUUCAAUUUAAAAAGUGAGAACUAAUGCCAUAAUACAGAGUAACAACUUCAAAGUGGCGGUUGCUAAUAAUUGUCAACAUAUACAUGCAAUAUUUAUUGAAACCGAGGACCAAUUGGCAUGUACAGGGAUAAAGAUCUUACUAAUCAAUUGAUCCAUCUGAUUCGAUUACAUUCUUUAUCUUUAUCUUUUUCUUUUCAGAGAAUUGGAAUUUUCUUGCUGUAAAUCUUUUUACUGCAGCAGAUAUCUAGAUGCUCCCCUACAAGCAUAUAUAUUAACCCUUGAACUAGCCAGUCCAGGUUUUUUGUUGGACUAGGCUUAUUGUCGUUCAGUUUUUCAUGGUCAAUCGUACAUUUGGCAAAGCUGGAGUCACCUCUGGAGAUAACUUGUAACGUUGCUUUAUAGUUCUUGUAGUGCUUCAUACAAUCUCCAUCUAUUGCCUCAGCAGCAGUGGUCUUGUUCUCCUCGUCAAUUUUGAGCCUCUCUUUGUAUACCUCAACUUUUCCAUCUAUAUUUGCAUCACAAAGAAAUUCAUCAGUGGCUUUUCUUAACACUGAAUAAUGUUUCACUCUUAAUUUGUUGUUUCCUAUAUUAUCUAGCUUUAGGCUCAAUUUGCCACAUUUUGGGAAAAACGAAUUUAACAAGAAAAUGUAAUGGAGAAAAGUAUCAAUUAUUAAAAACUAUUGAUGCUUCGUUACGCCAAACUAAACUACAAUAUAGACUCCUUAUCCUUGAUGUCUUUCUCAUUUCGUUAUGAAAAUUAGAUAAUUGACUGAGUAUGCUAACUACUUCACAAGCUAGAUCGCAUAAAAAAAAUAAAAAUUCAUAAAACUUAAAGGAGUAAAUGAACAUUAAGAUACAGUAAAGUGAUGGUUUUACCUAAGUACAACAAAUAAGAAGUAGGCGUGGCAUUAUUUUUUGUGCAAAAGGGUAAAAACUUUUAUAAUGAAAGUGUUACAAUUCAAGAGAUGAAUGGUAGUAUUAAAAGAAAGAGUGUAAGUGAGAGAUUCCGAAUUCGAAACCUCGCACUUACACUAAAAAAAAAGAUAGUAAUUUUAAAAGUUUAGUAUUAGGUCCUCUUCUUCUUCUUCUUUUUUUUUGUGCUUAUCUUUUGCCUUUACAACACUCAAUAGAAAAAUCUUAUUAUUCUACCGUCUUUACGUAAGAAGCAAUAAUAUAGAGUCAAUUUCUUUGCAUCCAGUGAAAGGAUAAGGAGAUAAAGUCAAUUGAGGAGGCUAAUUACGAUAAUAUGUCAAGCUCAAUAAAAAUGCCAUGAAACAUAUGAUAAGAGUUGUUGUCAAGAAAUUAUACAAAAAGAUACUGAGGGAAGCCCAAAGCCCGUGAAAAGAAUAUAAAAAAUAAAAGAUUGUGAAUAUAUCAAAUAAAAUUGCGGUCCAUGGGCACGAAAUAAGUUGAGUACAAAUUUUGGCAUGAUCGAUUCAUAAAUUUCUGCUGAAAGAUUGUCUCCUGAAUUAUUUGUGGACAUCGAUUGUGAUGGCUCGGAAAACUUAGUUUCCUCUAAUUCAACAAAUUAGUUAUAUGUUGAUUUAUUUGAUCGAUUCAUAGCUUGCUUUAUCAGUUACCUUUGAUUCAAAAGUCAGUCCAGUGUUUGCAGUACUUACUUAUAAGAAUGUGGUUUAAUAAUUUUGCAGAGUAAAAUUUAGAGAGGUUUCGAGGGCUUAGUUGACGAAAAACAAAUAUAUGGAAGGCCAAGCUAAGAAUCAGGGCCUGACAGAUAUUAUUACACUAUGAGGUCUCAUUUCGAUUUACUCUAGCAUUUAUUUAUUUUUUGAAUAAUUGAAAUGGAAUUCAUAUAUAUUCAUUCUUAAGAAAUUGUUCUGAUCUUGCCCCCUUCCUACCUAGUACUGUAUUAUUUUUUCUUGACAAGGCGCACAAAUAAGUAAGACAUUUUAUUUUAGUUGUCAUGAAUUAGGAAAAGAGCUUUUUUUCUUGAAAUUCAUUUUUUAAUGUUUCUUGAUUUUUGUCUCCUACCAAAAAAAAAAAAAAAAAGUAUUUGUCCUUUUGGUUUCUCAUAUUUUUGCAACUUUUGCAGGUAUGUAUCAACAAAUUGUAAUUGGGAUAUAUGUGUGUGUUUGUGUGUGCGUGCACGCAUGUGUAAGUGUAUGUAUGUACAUACAUGUGCAUAUGUAUAUAUAUGUACAUACAUACAUAUAUACAUACAUAUAUAUGUGUAUAUAUAUGUGUGUGUAUGUAUAUAUAUAUGUAUACAUACAUCACGCACACGCAUAUAUAUAUAUGUGUGUGUGUGCGCGCGCGCGCUUAUGUAUAUAUAUGUAUGUACGUACAUACGUACGUUCAACAAGGAUUUUCAGCCAACUCAUUGCUAUGUGUACUAGCCACAAAGGUAUGCCUAACAACUACCAUUUAAUUGUUGGAUACAUUAAUUAAUCUGAAGGACAAACCUGCAAGGCUGUUGGAUCUCAUUAAUUAAAUAAGAGCCCAGUGCACAUCUUGGUCAUUAUGACCAGUUAAUGGCAAUAAGGUUGUACUCUCUCUCUUGCCGAAGAGUGGCCAAAAUGCCAAAUCGAAGAGGCGCCUUAAUGUUUAUCACUACAAACUUACAAAAAUUAUUUUGGGUUUCUACAGGAAAAUUCUGUUGAAAGGCAAAAAGUUCAACCGACAGAAAAUUGUGUGGAUUAUUAAAUCUUAAUGCACAAUAACUUUUGCGAGAAUCUUAAGCCUAAUUAAUACUCCCUCCAUUCCUUAUUAGAUGUCCUAAUCCAGUGUUUCUUUUUAUCUGUCAUUUUAUGAUAUCAAGAAAGCAUUUAUAAACUUUUUUUCAAAUUUAUCCUUGUUUACCCUUUCAACUUUCUUGAAUUGGAACUCUAAAUAAUUAAAUGCAGUAUUUGUAGUAUUAACAAUAGAAGUAGUUGAAGAGAUGAAGAAUUAAAUUGAAAUGUGUCUAUUAAUUAGGUAUAGUUGAAGAGAGAUAAAGGGUAAUUUUGAGAAGUAAAAUAAAACUUUUGUUGACUUUUAGAAAAUAACCAACUUUCUUAAUCUAAGAGAAUUAGUUAUUCAGGCCAUCUAAUAAGGAACGGAGGGAGUAACUCGUAAUCCACCAUAAGCCGUGAAGAUUGCUGCGGCCAAUGCGAUAGGGAAAAAAAAAAAAAAAAAAGAAACUCGUUUUCCAGUCACCUUCGUGCACUUCAAUCCUGUUAACUUUCUCAUUCACAAGAUCUGGGAGUUGGUGUGCUUUAGCGCCAAAGCUAUGGAAGAACUCAUUAGCAUCAGACAUCAGCCUGAAUUCAGCCUCCAACUUACCUACUAAUUUACUAGUCAUAGUAGAGAGUUCCAAGAAUUGAUCAAACCGAAAAAAAGAAGAAGAAGAAGGAGAAGGAGAAGAAAAGCCCUACUAAUAACCUUGAACAAUACUAUGUUUCAUGCAACUCAGCCACUUGACUACCUGAUCUAUAGAUGCUUCAUUAAUUGGUUGGCUCCCACAAGUUACAAAUGUGUGGUUCUCUUUUCUUUUAGCUGCAAAAUAUGCGUGUAAUCGUGAACAUGAAUGCAUGUUGCAAUAUCUUCUCAUGCAAAUGAUAUACUGCUGCGUUUAGCCAAUACUGUCACACUUGAUUAUUAGUUAAAUUGGUAAAUGCUCCACUUCUGUCUCCAACGGGGAAUUCAAUGGGAAAUAAUGAUGUGGGGUAUAUUUCUUUUUUUAGGGGCGGGUUAUACAUUUUUAUCUAAUCCUUAUCCAUAGCAAGCUGAAAUCAAAAUUGCUCUACAUUUCAAUUGAAGUCCAUGAUAAUUAUUUGGACAAGUUUGAUUUGUUUUGUAUAUGCUUAGGACAACAUGCCAAGAAUCGACCAAAAGCAGACUCACAGAACACUAGCGUAGCUUAAAGGACAAUUUCGAUUUUGGAUAGGUAAUGUUUUGAUAGAUUUUCAGCUUGCACUUUAAACUUCUAUUUUAAAGUCUUUUAGUUUUAUGAAUACACUUUUUUUUCUGUAAUCUAUCUGUAAUCAAAAUAUGUAGUGGGCUUUGAGUAUUCCUAAGAAGAAGCGAAAUUCGCUUUUGCAACAGAAGUAAAAUUAAGAAGUGAUAUUGUUAUUUAAAUUUAUAUAUUUGUUGUGCAGGUGCGUACAUUUAUUGUUCCUAUGCAUACAUUGUAGAGUACAAUUGUAACUAACAUUGUGGAGAUGCUACACGCCAAUGUUGUACUUUCUGCUGGUUUAGUUCACCUCUUUGGGACAUUUAGCAAGAAGUCAGAAUAUGAUAAACAAGUGUGUGUGAUACAGCAAAAUUUUAUUAAAUUACAUGACGAAAUUGUGAUCUAACUGAAGUUUUGCUCAUGUUCCUUCGUUAGAAAAUCAAUUAACGUGUUUGUUAUCACAAGAUUACUUAUGCAAUUUAGAGAUCCUCUUUUGAUUAAGAAACCAAAAGAGAUAUUUAAAGAGAGGAAACUAGAGAGAUCCUUGAAAUUUGAAGGUUCAAAACGGUGAACCGAUGCACUUAGCAUUUAUAUCUUCAUCAACUGAGAUAGAUAUAAAGCCACCUAAACAUUCAUUGAUCUUUGCCUUCAAAAUUCGAAAUUCACUAAUUAGAUUGAUCUUUUCUACGCAGCAUAUAAUUGUAAUUACACAUGCAAUUCGAAAUUCAAGUUACUUGUAUCAAAAGAAUUUUGCUAGUUCAUCUAUGAUGAUAGGAUACCUAAAUCAAAAACUGCAUGAAUGAAAAGUUAUAGGAUGGUACCAGUGAAUGUCGCUUGUUUUGUGGAGUUCUAAACCUUGAGGUGGGUUGGAAUUUAUUGCAGCCAACUUUGAUCCUAUGGGGGGUGGAUAAAAAUCAGACUUUUCCAAUAGAACUGGCUCACACAUUAAAAGGGUGUGAUCCCUUUUCCCUCUUGCCUGUUGCAAUAUGAUUAACUUCCAGUGCGUUUAGGAAAACAUUAGUAUAAAGGAGUGAAAGAACGCCUGAAAUUUGCAAUGACAAAACUGUAUGGACAUUAUUUGUGCAGACAUUUGAGAGAGAAUGCUGAGCUGAUAAUCCUUGAUGGAGCAGGGCAUUCAUGGGCUUAUGAAAAUCUGAGUUUUAUAAGCACCUAAAAACCUUUCUCAUAGGCUGAAUCAACCAACCGACUUAAGGCACUUCAAUCUUUCCUCUUCAACUCAAAGAAGAAAUUUGUCGUUCAACUCAAUUUUCGAGCUAAAAACGUAGGGGAAAGCCUCUAAUCAAUUGAAUUUGUAGGUACACUUGGUUUCGUAGAAUAAAUAACUGACAAUGAUGGUUAAUAAUUCUUUCAACAAUGUUCCAUUCAUGAUGUAUCUCUGCUCAAGCUAUUGCAGAUCAUACAAAUUCCACUUGUGGAAGGAAGACGGGAAAAUUAAACCAUGUUCAUGGCUGGCCACUAAAUCCCUUGUUAAUGACUUCUAAUCAACUACUACUAUUUCAAAGACACCAUAUAUAAGACGACCAAAAUUCAGCUAAACACAUACCGUUCUGGGUAAAAGAUGUCAUGGCCCUCAAAUGACCUAAUCAGCCUAAAUUCAAGAGUACCUAUUAUGAAACGGACCAUAUGCCCAAUUGUUUCACAUCCUAAACUAUCAAAGUAAAAGUAUAUUGAGACAAGAAAAAAAGAAAAAAAAAAGAAUAGACAAACUUUGCUCCCUUUAUUUUCAAAAUAUUCAACCUGUAAGCACUAAUCAAACUGAAUAGUCUCAAAAGCUUAACUCAAUCAUAUAAUGAUCACACAGAAUAGCGAAAAAGAAAGGAGAAGAAGUACUCUGGUUGCAGACUCCUAAUUUGGUUGUUGGAGAAGGGGCGGUAGUAGUGGUUUUUAACUGAGAAUGAUAGAGACUGAGGUUUGAGAGUCUGAGAGUGUAGACUUACGGUUUAGUUCUUUUAUCCUUCAAAAAAAGGGUUUAGUUCUUUAUCCUUCAAAAAAAGGGUUUAUUCUUUUAGGAGUUUUAUUUUUAAAAUUUUUAACGGGAUCAAAUUGACUGCAAUGCCAAGAAACUAGCUGUACUACAAAAGUUAAGGGUAGAAAUUUCUCAAUAAGUUCUGAACACUUAUGUGUUUUAAGUCUUUAAUAUUUACACUAGCGCUCGAUAGCACACUAUAUUCCUACUUGCACUCGAGUCGUUACAACAAUCGAACAUGUUUGAAAUUGAUUCAAACACGAUCAAAGUCGAAACAAGACAAUCCAUUGAUCAAGCAGCUUCAUAUGUGCACCCGAGUUGCUCGAUUCGCAUACAUCCCUAUCGCAAAAUCAUAGUAAUUGAACCUUCAACAUCGAGUAUAGGAUUGGCCUUUGUUAUUCACCUAAUGCUCAAGUACAUAGCCUGACAGAGCCGGCAUUCUUCCAAUCACCUUGAUGAACAUCAAUGCCAUGGACUUUCUCGGAACACAGAUUUGGAAGUUGGUCUGCUUUACAACCAAAGCUAUUGAAGAACUCAUCAGGAUCAGACUUGGAUCUUUAUCUCAGCCUCCAACUUUUCUGCUGUAUUAGCCAUAGUUUUUUCUAGCUCUACUAGUCAAAAAGCUACUGAUUUUCAGCUCACCUUCACCUAGUAGAAUGCAAAUGCUAACGUAUAUGUACUUUAACCAUCGGACCACCGCUUAUAUAGGAUCAGUUCCAUUUUUCCGUACAUUUGUGAUGGUUUGUACUAAUAUCUUUGCUUUUUAUCAAUUCUGUUUUAGGUUUAUGUAGUUAUACCGCUCAUACCUAUGCUUAAAUUUCAAUAUACUAAUUGGGCUUAAGUAGCAAAGUUUUGAAAUUUAAUUUAAAAAGAAAAAAAAACCUGGCUACAUUAUUUUUGGAUUAGGUCAGGAAAUUUGCCUUGCUAUUCUUCUUUAUCAUAGUCAAGACAAAAUUUCUGUUGUUAGACUAUUACCAGGAUUAGGUUAAUUAUCUAUGUCUUUUGAUGCAAUAUCGAGAGGCAACAUGUCCCAGAUUAAAAUUAAGGGGCAGAUAAAAUGUCAUAUUAAUCCAAGAAAACCCAACUGCAACCAGAACUAGAUUUCAUGCUUUGCUUUAUGGCCAUCACCUAAGACGAGUGGGUUAGAAAGAUUUGUUUGCUUGAUAUGUUAUAAUACAGGCUUCGUUAAUAAGUUAUUAAUGCGAAUAUGCAAAACAAAUGGUUACAUUAUAGAUUCCUGUGCUUUGUGUUAAAGCUUCUUUUUUUUUUUUGGCAACAAAUUUUUGGACUGCACGGAUCAUUCCUUGCUGCUUUUAGAUUUCAAAACAGAAGCUACAAAGUACAGAACAUUUUCAGUUUUAGAAAUGCACCUCGGUUUUUCAAAAGGUGCAUUGACUACUGUAAAGAAUAGUUUCAGCUCCCUGAGAUCGAUGCCAGCAAGAUAGUUAAAUCAGCAGUGAUAAAUGUUAUGCAAUGAACCACUGUUAUAUAAAGGAAGCAUGCUGCGAUAAUGAUACCCCAUGAGGAAAAACAGAAACCCUAAUAAUCAUAGCGAUGAUAGUAACACUAAACCUAGAGUUAUGAACUAGUUCUUCGAGUUAAUUAAGAAUUUCUUGGUCCCAUCUAGGGGUGUAAACGAGCCGAAUUCGAGUUAAUUUUAUGAAGCUCGAAUUUUAUGAAACUCGAACUCGAGUUCGAACUCGAGCUCGACGAGCUCAAAAUAUCAAGCUCGAGUCGAGCUCGAGCUUAAAAAAUAAAAAAAUAAUUAUUAUUAUUUUAAAAAUAAAAAAUUAUUAUUAUUAUUAUUAUUAAAAAAUAAUUUUUUAAAAAAUUAUUAUUAUUAUUUUAUCAAGCUCGAGCUCGAGCUUAAAAAAUAAAAAAUUAUUAUUAUUAUUAUUUUAUUUUAUUUUUAAAAAAUAAAAAAUAAUUAUUUAUUUUAAAAAAUGAAUAAAACAAUAAUAUUUUAACAAAUAAUAAAAUAUUAGGAAUAUAUAUGUAAUUUUACUAUUAAAAUAAAAAAUAAAAAUAAAUAUAUAAUUGAGACUCGCGAGUCAACGAGUUUAAUGUUUUUGAACUCGAAUUCGAGCUCGAGAUCGAUUUAAUUAGUUCAAGCUCGACUCGAACUCGAUAUUGAUGAGCUCGAGUCGAGCUCGUAUUCGCUCGAUUCGCGAAACACCCCUAGUCCUUUCUUUGUAGUCAAGUCAUCCAAACAAAAUCGUAUUCCCUCGUUUAUUCCAAUUGUACCAAGAGACCAUUAUUUGGCGAAAAAGACAACAGAGAAAACAUGUCAGAUAUAAUCAUAUAAUCAGUGCUCCCAUAGCCAAAAUGCGCAGGAUUAGAUGUAGUUGGGUAUUAAUGGAUCAAAAUUCUUGACGUCUUCACUUGAGGAGAAGACGACAAACUGAAUUUAACUCGAAAAACUCGAAAAAAAUAAUAAUAAAAUUGCGUUUAAAAGAGCUGCAAUGAAUUUAGUUAGGAAUAUGGAAUUAACCUAUCUGGAGAAAGAUGGACAACAUUAAGCAAACAACAUGCGUUUGAAAACGACUCAGCAUUGAUGAAAGGGUUAAAUGCAAAAUACCCCCGCCAAUUAUACACCUAGUUGCAGUUUACCCCAUAAACUAUAAUAAUAGGCAUUUUGCCUCCUUGAAUGAUAUGUUUGGACAAAUCUAUCCCUUUUAUUUUAAACAUUGUUAUUUUUCUUUUUUCCCUAUCUUUUUCUUUUUAAAUUCUUCCUUUUUUUUUCUUUAAACAUUGUUUAAAUAAGUAGACUAGAUUAGUCAAAAUUUGUUUAUUUCUUAAUUUCAUAUGUCAAUAUUUUAUAAAAAAAAAUUUAUGGAAUACAAGAUUUUUUUUCCAAAUGUUGAAGUCAAUGUCAUUUAGGAAAUUGAACUUUUCAAAUAUAUAAUAACAAAAUAGAGAAAUUGAUUAAUCAAUUAGUAGUAGUAUCAAUAACAAAAAAAAUGAACUACUAUUGUUGUUUAUUCUUAUUUUUUAUUUCACUACAAAUAACAAUUGCUAACUUUUCUUUUUUAUGUGAUAUAUAAUAUGUUACUUUUAUUAUAAGUAGUUGAGUAACUGUGAACUCUUAAUUAGUUUAUAGGCACUUAAAUUGUUGAAUUACUAGAUUAAUACACUUUACAAUAUAAGCUACAUAUAUUUUGUAAUAACAAAGAGUUUAUGACAAAUUAUUAAGAAUGAAUUUAACAAAUAAACAAAUUAAAAAAGCAGUUUAAAGAAUAUUAAAAUUUUUUAUGUAAGUCCUUUCACAUCGGAGAGAGACAUUGGCUAGUUCCACGAAAGAAGGAGAAAAUAAAGAAAAAAAAAGGAAAAAAUGAAAUAGAGAAAAAAAAAAAAAAAAAAGGAUUUCAGAUAGUAGGGAUAGUAUUGUCCAAACAUAUCAUUCAGGGAGGCAAAAUGAUUAUUAUUAUAGUUUAGGGGUAAAAUGCAACUUGAUAUAUAAUUUGUGGGGGUUUUUUGCAUUUAACCCUUGAUGAAAAGACUAAUAAAGUCAACAGUAUGCCCCCACAAAAUUCAAUUUCCAAGUCACCAUUCCAACCACUUCCUUGACUAAUCCUAAACUUGGAGAUUGAGCUCCAAAAAAAAGUUUAUUCAAAGGCAAUACGAUUUGGGAAUUGCAAUGGGAAGCAAGUCGUUAAAUGAAGUAAUCAAACAUCACUUAGUAAAGGCUUACUAAACUAGUUAAUAAAGAUGUUGUUGGGCUGCUGUAUUUACCAUGAAUUGAUUUAAAGAUGAAAGUUCAGGAUCUUUAACAUGGAAUAUGGUGAUUUUUCUCCAAUUCCUCCUGGCUUUCUCUUUCUCUUUUAUUCAGGUCUCCCCGGCAGGAAAACAGAUACACACACACACACACACAUAUAUAGACACAAGCAUUUGAAGGUUCAUUAUCGUGAACCAGUGCACCAAGCAUUUAUAUCUUCAUCAAGCCAAAAAAAAAAAAAAAAAGAAAGAAAGUUAAGAUAGAUAUAAAGCCACACGAAACAUUCAUUUUAUUUUUCGUCAUUACACGUAGAAUCGUUAACACAUACAAAUUACAACCAAGCACUAACAGGAGUAGAAUUGCUAACACUUAUACAAAUUACAACCAAUCACUAGCAGGAGUAGAAUUGCUAACACUUACACAAAUUACAACAAGCACUAACAGGACUAGAAUUGCUAACACUUAUACAAAUUACAACCAAUCACUAGCAGGAGUAGAAUCGCUAACACUUACACAAAUUACAAUCAAGCACUAACAGGAGAGCAAAUUUUUGGAGGCUUCACUAAGCCCAGACAAUGGAGUACAUUAAAGAUUCUCUUUCAUUCUUGUUUUUUUUUACUCCGGGUACCCCGGACCGAGGCAAUGAAGAUAAAUAUAUCACCCAUAGAAGAAUUAUAUGGUAC